UUUUUUUUUGUUAUUCAAACAAAAUUAUUGUCGUAUGUUACAUUCUACUCCCUUUGUCUCGUAUUAAUUGUCGUUGAAACAAAUAUAUCAGUGACAUUUAAUAUGAAAUACAGAAUCAAUAUGACUGCAUGCCUAUGUACACACAUAUAUUUAUCCCUAUAAAUACACACUUUCAUAUCUUAUUUGUGAGCAUCUCCGAGAUACUAAACCGGCACAACAUCUUAAGAUGAUGAAGUCGUUAUAGACGCCUUUAUACUUGAUGGGAGCGUCUCUUUUCAUUUAAUGAACAUCUUCGAAAAGUUUAAAAUAUAUCUAGAAAAAUACGAGCAUGAUGCUAAGUUUAGCACUUGAACAAGGAACGUAAUCACUUGAGAUACGGCUAGUUGGCGAUUUUUACAUUCUACUAUAUACUAGUUGUGGCAUUGUCCAGCUUUCACUUUAUAUUGUUAUUGUUUUCAAACUAAAAAUCUAUAUCCAUCUGCUAGGAGCAAGUGUUGGUUAUGUAUUCAUGAGGUGUUAGGUAGAAUAUACAAUUGCAUUGAAUUCUUUGAAACUGAAUCGUUGUCGAAUUUGCACAGCUUAGAGAAAACUAUAGCCGCCUCUCGAAUCGCUCUUGGGCAACUGCGAAGGCACCAUUGCCCCCUAAAAAAGUUCCUGCACGGCCACCAAACCCUACCGUUGUCGCUAGAGAAGGUCGGUCCAUAGGAGGCAACGACGGUGGGGUGUGCCCACCAGACACACAUACUCUUUGUCUCUACCCCUCCCUCUUUCUCUGGCCAUCCUCGACCCUAGCCAUUCACAGCUCACUUGUCACAAACACAUUCCUCCCAUUGUGUGACCGGUGCUUGACGUUUGCCAGAUGCGUGCGCCCACUUUCCACCAUAUCCGCGUACACUCGGUGACCAUCGCGACUCGGGACUGCUAACACGGUAGUGGUCUGGCAACUGCUGCCUAGCCAUCUUGACCUUCCAUCGAACUGCGGUGACAUGGUUGUUAGGGGGCGCCCCUCAAAAUCUGUGCAUGCACCUUACUGGUGCUAAGGUGUCGUCUGCAUGCAUGAGAGCAUGGUUAAUAGUAUAGCCAAUAACCGACUAUAUAAAGUUGUCACGUCAUCUAUAGUAAACCUAAUAUUCAACAUAUACAAUAGCUAGUUACAAAGAAGUACUACUUUAUUAACUAGAUGAUGCCCCGCACGUUGCUGCGGGAACUCUUUGUCCUACCUACGUGAUAAUACAUAACUUGAAUAACUUUGUGUGCAUAAUGGAUAUAUGAUACUUUUUGUGUGUAUUAUGUGAAUCUUGUUGUAAAUCAAUCUUCUGCAUUUUAGUACAUAGGUGCCAAAUAUAGCCAAGUAGUUGUUACAUAAGUUCAUACCGGCAAGUGUAAUAACAAAUACUGGUAUUUGCACGUAAACAUAAUAUGAGAUAACAGAUAGUGGAAAUGAAGGUCGAGAGAAAUUGACAGUACCGGGUCGUUGUCUUUGUUAAACAAAGAAAAUCUACGAUAGCUUAUAUAGCUGAUCAUUAGUGAGAACUGCUACUUCCUCUUUUGAAAUGAAAAAGGGGUUGUUCUGAGGCAAAGCUAAUGCAAAUAGUAGUGGCUGACAUUUAGUAGGAAGGAAUGAUAGUGUCCUCAGGCUUCAUCUUGCAAAUGAUAGUAGAGAAAGCUAGACAAAAAAUAUUAGAAUGAGCUAUAAUUAAUCAGAGGACUAUGCAAGCUAUACAUCAAAUAGAUGGAAUACCGUGAUUGGACACAAAUCAGUAACAUUGUGAGUGUAGAUAGCGAAGAUAGCACUUCACAACGGAGAGAUCCAAUUGAUAUUGCAAAUGACGAAGAUAGAAGAAGGAGCCUGCAAGAAACAAUGAUUGUAAGUGCCAGCAACAUAUUUGUCACCUGCUACUUGAGCAGGAAAAGGGUGAUACAUAGAUGGAGAGAGGAAAAUGGAAUUUUCAAGCAUUAAGGCAAUCAGAAAGUGUACUACCGAAAAUUAAAAUGUAUAGUGGAAAUAACACCUCCUGAUCUAUCAAAUGCUUAAUUGAAAAACUAAUGGCACUACUGGUUUUGAUUCAGGGCUUCAAAACCUGUGUGGAACCAUUUACUAAGCAGCAUGUGUACUAAUUUAGAUAGCACAAUUUGACAAAUAUCCAAAAGAGCAAACUGUCUAGAUGGAGUGUUUGUUUCUGCUAUGCAACAUCAAGUACGAUGAAGAAAAAAAGGUUAUCUACCAAGGUUAGUACCUUUCUUUCCUUGGUUCCCAAGGGUGGUAUAUAUCUCCUAGAACAAACAAAGAUAAUUCAUUGUUUUACCUGAAAAGUGAUAAAGGCCAUCUGUAAAGGUAGAAUCUGGAAAAUUAUCUCCCAAGACAGGAAGAAAAUGAAUACGCGAGGAAUCAUUAUCUAACAAAUAGUCCUUUGCAUGGCAAUGUUUGCGCGUUCUUUCUUCAGUAGGGAAUCGCUGGAACAAAAAUAUUUAUUAAUAAGGACAUUCAUGCGUCUAUGUGCCUAAGAAAUAACAAUGUGCAAACCAUGAAGGAUAACCUCACAAUAAAUUAGUAAAAUAGUAGGGUAGAGUUAUGAUUUAUGAAUGGAGCCUUGGAUGAAUUUGUACAUCUCAAUAUCAAUCAGAUGGCGUGAGGAAGCUACUACAUACAUAAUGGCACUACUAUGAGCGAAAAUAUACAUGCAGGAUGCAAAAUAAACAGCCAAUUCUUUUUUUCCUGUUACCGGGGGCAUACGCGGGUAAAUUAUGUGAACUUUAGGGGCAAAUUCCGUGACAUACGACCAGAAACCCAGUUUUCUUUAUUAUUAGGUAAAGAUAAAGAUAUAUUGUUAUGUUGAGAUACUUGGCGAUUAAGGUAAGAGAUAUCGGUUCAUGGGCGAGGUCAUCGGCACCAUCGAAGGAAAGGAGAUGCGCGCCAGUGGAUGGUGAUGUAGGUUCCCUGCUCCAUGGGGCGGGUGGAGUACAGCUGAGGGCCCGUCUCCGCUAGAUUCCGGCCAGAGCAGUGGAUCGGCGGCGACGGUGCGCAACGCCAUGGGUCGCUGUUCAAGGAGGGGCCGCAAAUCCGCCUGGGCAAAGUUUCAGCGUACCUGCAUGUGAAGACGAUGGUGCUAACGUGCAGGUUCUUCAGGUUCUAGCUUGUGGAGGGCCACCCCGUCAAAUAUGGAACCAUGGACAUCUCUCUACGCACGCCCUCAACGUCCGCGUCUCCAGAUUGCUUGAUUGUGAAGAGUUAAGAUACUCAGCCAGUCAGCCGUAGAAGAUAAAGAGAUUCAUGGAAAAUCGAUUAACCUGCAAUGACAUUAGAUCAGAUGAGUAGUUCCGGGGCAUCAUAGCAGGAGAGAGAGAGAGAGAGAGAGGUGGGAUUGGGAAUCACACCGGGUAAUACGCCGAAUCUUUUGGACACCAUCUUGGGGUUGAAAUAUGGACUUUUGCACAAAAGUAUAUGCAUUUUUUUGUCUCUGUUCUUGUUUUAGUUCUGUUUAUGGUUUAGUUUACUGAAAAACAGGUAGAGUUUGCACAACUGGAGUUUGUUCCCACCGUUGGAUGCUAAUCCGAUCGAAAAGGAAAGAAAGUGACUGAACCGGCUAAAUAUUUCAGUCGUGUGACCGGAAUGUUGUCGCUCCCGUUGCUACUAGCGACUCUCCUCGCGCCGCACCUCUCUGUUCAGGAUGAAGAUCGCCUCACCGCGAUUCUCGUUAUGCAGCGCGCCACAGGUCGAGCCCUCACCCAAAGCUUCGUCAUGGCAACCCUCUCUUGUUCCCUGAUGAUUAUGCGUCACUUACUCCGUCUCCACGAAGGCGGCAAGACGGGGUGUACGCUGGUGCCCGUGAGGGUCCUCGGGCGUGAGCCGUGAGCGAGCCACCUUCCCCCGCCAGUCAGGUCAGCGUGAUGUGCCGUCUCUGGUCUCCUAAGACGGCUGCCACUAAUUUUCAAUGCUCACGUGGGUUCUCUCUUCUUGUUACAUACUCCCUCCGUUCUGAAUUACUUGUCUUGGAUUUGCCUAGAUACGGAUGUAUCUAGACUCAUUUUAGUGCUAGAUACCUCUGUAUCUAGACAAAUCUAAGACAAGUAAUUCGGAACAAAGGGAGUAGUACUGUACGUCUAGAAGCUGGCAGUUGCUGCCUGAUUUGGUUAGCACAUAUCCUGCUUAGCUCGCAAUUCUGCCGCAACAAGCCUUCCUGAAAAGAGAAGAGCAUGGUCAAGGAAAGCUGCCGAGCAAAGCAAAUGACUCCCAAGUCACCAUCAUUUUUCCAUGGCUCAUGAAAAGAACGGCUGAGCUGCCCUUCCUGGACAUUCUUUCACAGGCUGGGAGGCUGGAGGUGGAGUGGUUCACAACGCAACCGGUGAUAGAUAAGUUUCAGCACGUGUCCCUUUCCUGUUGGCAAUACAAAGUCACUCUCUGCAACGUCCGGAUAUUGACGUCCAGGACCGCAAGCACCAGCAGUCUGCAAUUUCACCAGCCUCCUACCCCCUGCUCUGUUGGGUUCUUUGUUAGUUAGCACUCUUCUCUUGCAGGAACUCAAGAUGGAGCUAGCAAUAUCUGCAGUAACAGGUGAGCUCGUGAGCCGAUUCGUCUCCUACCUCGCUGACAAGUACCGCUCGAGCCGCCGUGCAGAGUCAGGAGAGACACAGUUGAGGAGGCUGCAGCAACUCCUCCCCAGAGCCCGCUCCGUCGUUGAGGAGGCAGAUGGGCGGUACAUCACCAACUCCGGGAUGCUGGCGCAGCUCAACAUGCUCACGGACGCCAUGUACCGAGGCUACUGGGCGCUAGGGGCCUUUGGGUACAUGUCCCUUGAAGAGACAGAGACUAGUCCCAUGGAGGUUAGCAGCUCAUCUCCCCGCAAACGUCUCCGCACGGUUCAUGGCAGUGCUAGGAAGAACAAGGCCAUGUACCUUGCCGACCUUCAAGGUGUGGUGGAGAGCUUGGAGGAUGUCGUUGCUGGCUUGACGGAGUUUGUUGUUCUUUUGAGUGGAUGCGACCGUAUGCUGCGUCGACCAUAUGAUGCGUAUCUUUACAAUGACACCAUCAUGUUCGGACGCCACACCGAGAAGCAAAAGCUCCUGAACUUCAUGUUGCAGCACAGUUCAAGCUCGCCUGGUGGAACGCCGGCUGUUCUCCCGAUCAUCGGUGCUCCCGCGGUCGGGAAGAGGACUCUGGUGGCCCAUGUAUGCAAGGACGAGAGGGUCAGCUCACAUUUCUCCUCGAUUCUGCACCUGAAUGGAGACUCCUUCCGCAGAAUCGCAGACCAUGACCGGAGCUUCUUGCGAGGGAAGAUAGUGGUCGUUCUUGAGCUUGUCGCAGACGUCGACGAGAAGGAUUGGGCCGAGUUCUGCUCAACCUUGGCAAGCAUGGAUAGUGGAAGCAAGGUGAUCAUCAUCAGCCGGCUUAGAAGUACAGAGCGAUUCGGGACAGUGCGGCCGAUCUUCCUUAACACCCUGUCAUACGAGGAGUUCAGCUACCUCUUCAAGACACUCGCAUUCGGGAGCGCGAACCCGGCGCAUCACCCGCAGCUGGCACGGAUUGCAGAUGAAUUGGCCGAGGAGUUCCGCACGGAAUGUUCGCUCGUCGGCACAAACAUAUUCGCGGAUGUGAUGAGGAGGAAUCUGAACGUCCAUUUCUGGCUCGGCAUGCUGAGCAGGCUGAGAAGAUUUGCUGAGAGGAACGUCUCCAUGUUUGGGGAACACCCGAGGUUGCUCGUCGAGAGACGCCAUCAGAUAGAUGUUACGGACUUCGUCUUGCAUCCUGCUGCUUCUCCGCUCCGCAUCGUGCCUUCCUGCACCAGUGGCAGCAGCCGCACUGAGGUUACAGCGGAGAGGGCAUCGCUGCCGAGGGUGAGGCUUGGAGAUCUUGUGAUGGAUCCUGGAGUUCGGCCGCAAGGGGAUUUCAAUGUGGUUUCCUGGGAAUCAAGGUUGCCUCCUUACACUUCAUUUGUACAUUUUGUUCCAAAUGGAAAUUGUGCUCCAGGUUUGGCGAAACAGAGUACUCCCCUGUCUGGGAGGAAGCGUCCAGCAGUUGCUUUGUAAGGCCUUCUGAUUAGAAUGAUUUUUACUGGGAUUCUGUAGAGUUGAAAUCUCUAGUACUCCCCCAGUUCAUGAUUAAAUAGAACUUAGAUAUUGACACAGUCUCCCAUAUGUAUCUUUAACCUCUGUCUUCAAGCUUGGAAUUUAUAUUAUGAAGAAAACAUGACAAAUUAAUUUUGUACAUAUCUGUAGUCAAAGUUAGAAAAUGUUGAAUACAGGCCUUUCUUGGAAGUCAUGCAUUUAUGAAAAGUAUUUUGUGUGUGUAAGAUGUUUGAUUUGUGGCUGGGACUGUCAGUUUUAUCCAAAGAACCCUUUGUAACAUUUCUCAUACAAAGUUUUGCAUGAACUUAAANNNNNNNNNNNNNNNNNNNNNNNNNNNNNNNNNNNNNNNNNNNNNNNNNNNNNNNNNNNNNNNNNNNNNNNNNNNNNNNNNNNNNNNNNNNNNNNNNNNNNNNNNNNNNNNNNNNNNNNNNNNNNNNNNNNNNNNNNNNNNNNNNNNNNNNNNNNNNNNNNNNNNNNNNNNNNNNNNNNNNNNNNNNNNNNNNNNNNNNNNNNNNNNNNNNNNNNNNNNNNNNNNNNNNNNNNNNNNNNNNNNNNNNNNNNNNNNNNNNNNNNNNNNNNNNNNNNNNNNNNNNNNNNNNNNNNNNNNNNNNNNNNNNNNNNNNNNNNNNNNNNNNNNNNNNNNNNNNNNNNNNNNNNNNNNNNNNNNNNNNNNNNNNNNNNNNNNNNNNNNNNNNNNNNNNNNNNNNNNNNNNNNNNNNNNNNNNNNNNNNNNNNNNNNNNNNNNNNNNNNNNNUAAAAACCGUCAUGUAUCGAGGGCCUCAAGAAGAAGUGAAACAAAUAUGAAUCUCGAGGCUUGCAUUGCGGCAUCGCUCCACAUGUGUUUGGGCCACAAAUUUGAGGGUACCGCAGUGGGGGGGCCAGGGGGGACGAGCAGGGCCUGCCCCCCACCCAACGAUCGACAGUUUUAUUAGGAGCGACGAGUAAUUACCAACGAUAUUAGAUCAAUGUACGUACUUGGCCCCCUGGCCGCCCAGACGGAAGUAAAGAUCUGAAGCAAAAAGGCCAUAGAAAAGCCCACACAGCCUUUUUUGAUCUAGUACUAGCCCAUGACGCUACCCUAAAACAAAAAGGUUAGCCCCCCAGCGUGAUUAACGUGUGACUGGAGAGGCUGCCGGCCGCCGCCGCUGCUUCUUGCCUCCCUGUUCGUGAUCAGAUGUGGUCAGAUUAUAUUUGGCGACACCGGCUCCUGCGUUGGGCAAUCCUACAGACUACACUCCAGUUCUCCAAUAGUCAAUCCAGUCAAGGAUUAGCAGUAGUGAGUAUUUCUCCAAUUGUACAUCCUUUUAGUUAUUUUGAUUGAUUGUUUAAUUUACUAUGCUAAUUGGUUCUUUUUAUUUUUUUUGAUUGCGUAAUCUGGAAAACGGAAAUGAAUAGAAAAGCGAUGCCAAACAACACCAUAAGGAUUAAUUCGAUUUUUAGGCAUAUAUUGUUUCACUUUCUCUACCUACUGAUAAUGUUAAUGAUGCUAAAGUGCAAGUUAUCAAUCCAGUCCAAUGGGAGAUGACUUGCUUCAGAAUUGCAAGAUAAUCUGCACUGAAAGAGAAUUACCCAUCAACUAAGUUAUGAUCUGCAAAAUUAUAUAUAUUUUUUCGAUCGUCCUGGAAAUAGUCAGGGUAAAUUAAGCUAAUAAAACUGUAACUAUGUUCUAGUUACGCCAAAGCGACACAUUUUUUUGGUCGCACGGGGCAUUUUUUUUUUUAAAGUUGGCUUGGCCCCCCUAUACUCGAAUCUUGGCUCCGGCCCUGAGGGUACCUACCAACAGCUGAGCUACCCAUUACUUCGCUUGGCGUCCUCAGAGAUAAUCAGCACCCCCUCAAAAAAAAAUUCAAUCAGCACAGGCUACCAGUACUAGCGGAACUCCUCUCGAUCGUGCAUUGACUAGGCAGGUCCUGAGAUCAAAUCAGUAGUCCUCAAACCUUCACUCGUUGAUGAAGGGGAGAGGUUGAUGCCACGAGUAAACACUAAGAUCCACUUAUUCGGAUUCACCUGUGGGCACACCGUUGCAUGCCUGUGUGUCACCAGGAUCAAUGGUGACACGCUUGAACAACAUUGGCCCCUGUUGCUACCUAGCAAGUGUGGGUACGGGACAAGUCUAAUGGAGGGGAGGGCAACGACGAAGGAUUUGCGUGGGUCAUAUAAAUAUUAUUCCCUGGGCUUUUAUCCAUUUUGAUGACAAGUAUUUUUGGACGGACGGGGUAAUAUUUUUUAGGCAAUCAAUAACGCAAUAGCUGAUUGAUUAAAGUCCAAAGUCUUGAGUGGUUGAGCCAUAUAUCUCUAUAUAUGUCUCUGGUCAAGGGUCGAUGGUUCGUCUACAAACUAUACUAGCUAGCUUCUCUCCAUUGUAAACCGAAACCAUGUGGAACCAUAUAUAAAGCCUGUUCGGUAGCUCUCCAGACCGUCAACUCCGCUCCGCGCGAGGAGUUGGGUUCGAGCCACUCCGCCUGAUUGCGCUGGCGCUCCCUCCGCUCCCGGAGCUGCAGUUGGGGAGCGGAGGGGAUCCGAACAGGGCCAUAGAGUGUUAAUGUAAGGAUAUGUAUAGAGAACUCGAAACUGUACGCUUGAUUGAGAGAUCGGUGGUGAUAACGUUAAGUGGCGCCAGACCAUAAGGGUGAUUCACCAGCAAUAGGAAUAGGAUGCACGGGGAAUUCGAGUUGAAGACAAACUACAAAUGUACACGGUACACGCAACAAAUGGCUAAUUUUUUUAAAAUAAUAUAAAAAAAUUCAUUAAUUCGAAGAAUAAUAUACGGAUUUGAUUUUUUUCAAAAAUAAGCUUCCCUGUAGCCGAUUGGAUUCAAUCGGCUUUCUGUAAGCCGAUUAUGUUAAAUUGUGAUCCAAAUUCUAGUAUCAUAUUGGACUAGACGUAGUACAUACGGUGUGGGCCUUUUGCGUUGGUACCGACGCGUACGAGUACAACUCGUUUACUUGUCCUACAAGGACUUCUAUGUGUUGCCCUUCAUAUAUACCCCAUGUAGUCGCACUCUCCUCGUAGUGAUCGCGCCUUCGUGCGUCCGUGGUUUUCUCCCGUAAGGGUUUCCACGUAAAAAUCUGUGUGAUCUCGUGUCUUUUUUAUCUCGUUAUUAUCUAACAAGUGGUAUACAGAGCUGAUGUUACAGAUACGAGAUUUAAGAUCAGGAGAUUAGGGUUGCGGCGUCCUUUGCGCCGCGGCCGACGCGACCUGGCGAUUCGAAACCAGAUCGAUCAAGUCGCCGAGUUCGACAGGAACCGAGUCGAUCUACUACUGGGUGAAGUCGCGCGUUGUCUGGCCGUGUCCGAGAUCGAAAAGUUUUUCCCCUGCAGCCAACUCCAGCAAUCUACACGCGAAUUUUGGCAGAGCCGUCGUCACAUCACGGGUCAUCAAAUUCCCGUGUUCCUGGUCGCUGCAACUCCCGAGGAGUUCCUUCACGUGAAGCUAAGUUCAGAUUCGCUUUAUUUGUUUCAUCACAGAUCAAGAAGUAGUACUUUGAUCAGCCAGCUACUAGUACUAGUAUUUGUCACAUCAAGCUACAGUUUUUUUUGGUCUCCCACUUCCACGUAUACACGAAGCUGCCAGGUGCUAUUGUUCCUUGCUCAGUUUGAUCUGCAUAUUAAAUUCUGUCAAGAAUUUUUCUAUCGCCUUGUACUGCUUUGUGCACAGCUUUUAUCUACUCAUAGCAUCCAUGAAGUACGAUUUUCCGCUGCUGGACCGUGGCACAAGGUUUACCUUAUGGCAAGUCAAGAUGCGGGCGUUGUUGGCACAGUCCGACUAUGAUGUAGCACUGGAUAGUUUUGGGAAGAACCGAAUUCAAGAUUGGACUGAUGAGGAGAAAAGAAUUGAUUGUAAGGCUUUGUCACAAAUUCAACUCCAUUUGCAUAAUAAUAUUUUGCAGGAAGUUUUGAGCGAGAAAACUGCCGCCGCUCUAUGGUUAAAGCUAGAAGGGAUUUGCAUGACUAAAGAUAUCACCAGCAAGAUGCAUCUGAAGCAAAAAUUAUUCCUGCACAGGUUACCCGAGGGAGGUAAUGUUUUGAAUCAUAUUUCAGAGUUUAAGGAGAUUAUAUCCGAUCUAGCUGCAAUGAAGGUUAAGUAUGAAGAGGAAGAUACUGCUUUAAUGUUACUUUGUUCACUGCCAAGUUCUUAUACCAAGUUUAGAGACACCAUAUUAUACAGUCGUGAUACUCUCACGCUUAAUGAAGUUUAUGAAGCUUUGAACUCUAAGGAGAAGAUGAAAUUAAUGGUGCCUCAUGAUGGUUCAAGUUUAUCCCAAGCCGAGAGAUUAUCUGUUCGUGGCAGGACAAAGGAGAAGAACUCACACAAUGGAAAAAGAGGCAAACGUAAGAACGGCCACAGGGGCCGAUCGCAAUCCAGAGACAAGAAAUAUUGCAGGUAUUGCAAGAGAGAUGAGCAUGACAUCUCAGAGUGUUUCAAGUUGCAGAACAAGGAAAAGAGAGAAGGUAACAAACAAGGUGACAAUUCUGCCAACGUUGCUCGUGAUGAUAGUUCCGAUGAUGCUCUUGUCGUUAUUGCUGGAUGUGCUGAGACUAAUGAUGAGUGGGUACUUGACACUGCAUGCACUUUUCAUAUGUGCCCGCAUAGAGAUUGGUUUACUACUUUUGAUUCCACUUCUGCUGCUGGUUCCGUUUUGGAUUUUGAUAAUUCACCAUGCAAGAUUGAAGGCAUAGGUACUAUUCGAAUCAAGAUGUUUGAUGGCAUAAUCAGAACUUUGACAGAUGUUCGGUAUAUUCCGAAGAUGAAGAGAAAUCUUAUUUCUAUGAGUGCCCUUGAUGCAAAGGGAUACAAGUAUUCAGGUGGAGAUAGUGUUUUGAAAGUCACAAAAGGUUCCCUUAUUGUGAUGAAAGGUGAUUUAAGUUCGACCAAUGGUCUUUAUUACCUUUGAGGUUCUACCGUUUCAGGUAACGCUACUCCAGUUAUUUCAAAGAAUUCUGAUUGUGAUGCUGCUAACCUUUGGCAUAUGCGUCUUGGACAUAUGAGUGAACUUGGUUUGGCAGAGUUAAAUAAGAGAGGUCUUCUUGAUGGAUAUGAACCUGGUAAACUGAAAUUUUGUGAGCAUUGUAUCUUCGGCAAACACAAGAGGGUGAAGUUCAAUACUUCGACUCAUACAACUGAAGGUAUUCUUCAUUAUGUACAUUCUGAUUUAUAGGGACCAUCUCGCAGAAAGUCACUAGGUGGUGCUAGUUACAUGCUGACUAUUAUUGAUGAUUAUUCGAGAAAAGUUUGGCCUUAUUUCUUGAAGCAUAAAUAUGAAGCAUUCUCAGCAUUUAAGGAGUGGAAAAUUAUGAUUGAAAGACAAACUGAAAGGAAGGUAAAAAUACUUCGCACUGAUAAUGGUAUGAAAUUCUGUUCUAAGCAAUUUAAGAAUUAUUGCAAGUCUGAAGGCAUUGUCAGACACUACACCGUUCCUUAUACUCCUCAACAAAACGGUGUUGCUGAGCGUAUGAACAUGACCAUUAUUUCAAGAGCCCGUUGUAUGUUGUCCAAUGCAGGUUUGCAUAGGCGUUUUUGGGCUGAGGCCGCUUCCACUGCUUGUUAUCUCAUUAAUCGUUUACCAUCUAUUGCUCUUAAUAAGAAAACUUCAAUUGAGGUAUGGUCUGGUUCACCUGCUGAUUAUUCACAGUUGAGAGUUUUUGGUUGCACUGCUUAUGCUCAUGUUGAUAAUGGAAAAUUGGAGUCUAGGGCUGUUAAGUGCAUCUUUCUUGGUUAUAAGUCUGGUGUUAAAGGUUUUAAAUUAUGGAAUUCUGAAACCCAGAAGGUUGUUAUUAGCAGAAAUGUUAUCUUUAAUGAAUCUGCUAUGUUACAUGAUGUUUCAUCUACUAAUGUUCCUGUUGAGAGUGAACAGCAGCCUCCUAUUCAGCAGCCUACUGUUCAGGUGGAGCAUGUUAUUGAUUCAGGUGAUACAUCUAGUAAUGAAAUUGUUGAUGCACAUGAUGAACCCGUCGUUAAUGAUGAUCAUGUCACUCCCACUCCAAAUCAGCCUAUUGUUCCGCCCAGUUGGAAUCUCGCACGUGACAGAGUUAGACGGGGUAUUAAUAAACCUGACAGGUUAAUUGAAGAGUGCAAUAUUGUUUCUUUUGCUUUAUCUGUUGCAGAAGAAAUUGAAGGUAAUGCUGAACCUUCUUCAUAUUCUGAGGCUAUUAUUUCCGGUGAUAGUAAUAAGUGGAUGACUGCUAUGCAUGAUGAGAUGGAAUCACUUGAAAAGAAUGGCACUUGGGAUUUAGUAAGAUUACCUAGAGAGAAGAAACCUAUUCGUUGCAAGUGGGUUUUCAAGAGGAAAGAAGGUGUUUCUCCUAAUGAUGAGACAAGAUAUAAAGCAAGCAAAGAGUAUGUUAGAGAUUAAUGAACUAAAGAAGCAAUUGAGUAAUGAAUUUGAGAUGAAGAAUUUGGGUGCAGCAAAGAAAAUACUUGGCAUGGAAAUAUCCAGAGAUAGACCGUCUAAAAAAGUGUAUCUAAGUCAGAAGGGAUAUAUUGAUAAAGUUCUUCGUCGUUUUAAUAUGCAUAAUGCCAAGCCAGUAAGUACCCCGUUAGCUGCACACUUCAAAUUAUCAUCAGCUUUAUGUCCUAAGUCAGAUGUAGAUAUUGAGUACAUGUCUAGAGUUCCCUAUUCGAGUGCAGUUGGCUCACUUAUGUAUGCCAUGGUUUGUUCUCGUCCUGACUUAUCAUAUGCAUUGAGUGUUGUCAGUAGAUACAUGGCUAAUCCUGAAAAAGAGCAUUGGAAAGCAGUUCAGUGGAUUUUCAGAUACCUGCGAGGUACUUCUAAUGCUUAUUUACAGUUUGGGAAAACUACAGAUGGACUUGUUGGUUUUGUUGAUUCUGAUUUUGCUGGUGAUUUGGAUAAGAGAAGAUCACUCACAGGUUAUGUUUUUACUAUUGAUGGUUGUGCUGUGAGUUGGAGAGCCACUUUGCAGUCUAUUGUGGCUUGUUCCACUACUGAUGCCGAGUAUAUGGCUAUUUCUGAGGCAUGCAAAGAAGCUAUCUGGUUGAGAGGUUUUUAUCCUGAGCUUUGUGGAGAUUCAUCUUGCCCUACCGUAUUUAGUGACAGUCAAAGUGCUAUAUAUCUUACAAAGAAUCCAAUGUAUCAUGAGAGGACAAAGCACAUUAAUGUCAGAUUUCAUUAUAUUCGAGAUGUUAUUGCUAAAGGCGAUUUGAAGGUAUGCAAGUGUGACGCCCCGAGACCGAUGUGCCAGGUGUCCUCCAGUUAUUCGUUGUUGUUGCCUUGUCAUUCGCUUGCGUGUUGCAUCUUGUCAUGUCAUCAUGUGCAUUGCAUCAUCAUGUUUUAAAACUUGCAUCCGUCCGGAUUCUCCCAGUUCCUUCCAUUGUCCGUUCUGAGCCCAGACACACUUGCACGCGCCCGCGGCAUGCCUGAAAUAUUAUUUUAUAAGUGGCCGGAAAAUGUUAUCGGAAUGGGAUGAAAGUUGGCAUGUGGUGUUGUUAUGUUGUAGAUAGACCGCCUGUCAAGUUUCAUCGCAUUCGGAGUCGGUUUGAUAGCCCAACCGUUAACUAUAGUGGCAGUAUAGACGGUCUAACGUCGGAUGUUUUCGGUCUCCGGAAACAGUCGUCGGGUCUCUCUCUUCUCUUCUCUUAGCUCGAGCCCUUCUGCACAGCCCACAAGUUUCAACCGACCUCUCGCGCGCGUCCGAGAGUUGUCCCGAACCCGACCCGGACUGUCGUCACCGUUGUGUCCAGAACAUCCCCAUACAUCUAUAAAACAUCACCGUUUUCUCAUUUGGAUUCCCUACCUAUUUUAUUCUCAUCCGUCGGUUUUCGAUCCGAUGAUCCAAAUCCCUCUCCUUUAAUCCUUUUGCUAUAUAUAUCAGGCAAAACCCUAAAAACUAGGUCGCUUGUCCCCCUCAGCUGCCGCCGCCACACUCAAAUCCCACCUCGGGAUCCUCCCAGAUCCCCUUUCUCCUUGUUUUCCUCCUCCACCCAAUCCCGAAGGCGCAGCCACCUCUCUCCAAGAUCCUCUCGGCCUCUACCUACCAGUCCAUCCAGCCAUCGACCGAACCAGCAGGCCCCGUGCCCCCUCCGUGCUCGUGCAGGCGCUCCUCGAGCCGCCCUCGUCCAUCGCCCCGCCUCAAGUCCGCUGAUGCCAAGCGCCACCCUGACCUUCCUGCGGCCACUUCUCCUCCCCCUGCUCCUCCACGCGGUGCCGACCGGCAACAAGACGAACGAGAACCCCACUGGGGCUCCUUCUCUACGCCCUCUCCUGGAGCCACCCGCUGCUGCUGCUCUUCUUCGAGGCGCAAGUCCCGCCGCGGCUGCUGCUCUGCUCCUGCCUCCGUGGAGCUCCCACGCAGAUCCUCGCCGUUGUUCCACGUCGGAUCCGGCCGGGGGCCGCUGGAUCUCGCCGCCUCCGCCAUGAACCCGUCCAUCCCCGACCUCCUGUGCGCGCCUCUACAUCAUCUGCAUCGAGCAGGUGGUCGCCUGCUCGAGCCUGUGCCUUGCUCGCCCGUGUUGACCUUGUCCCAGCGCGCGUGGACCGGUCAACUCCGUCCCCUGGGCCGGCCCUUCUCCUCCUCUUCUCCCAGCCAGGCCUUGGCCCGAUGUGAGAAACUCCUCCAGUCUGAUCCUGUUCGGCCCGAUAGCUCAGAUUCGGUCCAUAUAUGGUUUUUUUGCUGUGCGCUGCGAUUUUCCUAAUUGUUCAAAAAACUACAGCUUUACAGAAUGACCCCUAAGCUCCAUGCAUAUUGUAACUCUCAAACCGUGCAUCACAUGUAAAUAACUUAUAUAUGAAAAAUGCUUAAAAUUGUGUCUAGUUUCAUAAUAUGCAACUUUCAUGCAUGUUUAAAAUGUUUAAAAUGAUGUUUGUUUAAAUUUGCCCCUAUGCCAUGCUAAAAUGACUUAAUUCAUAACCAAAUAACCGUAACUCAGAAUUUAAUAAACUUUAUAUGUAAAUGGGGUAAAAAAAUGCCUAGUUUAACAUGGUGGCAUCACUUUGCAUGUUUAACAACUCUAAAAUUGUGUUUAGGGCAGAACGGUACUAAACCUAAUAAAUGCAUAUGGGGAUUUUCCGGAAGUGUUGUUUGUUGUUUCCGGCCUCAUUUAAACUUGACUAGAUAGGUAGUUUUCAUUUGCUUCACCUUUUGCCAUGCUAACAACAUUUAAUCUUGUUGGGUACCUAAACAAGAGAGAACUAAAUAAGUCAUGUGGUGUUUUCUUCAAUAUGCAACGGAGUUGCAUAUUGUGCUCCACUUAAUUUGUAGUAUUGUUUGUGCACUUUGUCAUGCCAUGCAUAUUUAAACCGGACAUGCAUCAUACUUGAUUGUGCAUCAUGACAUGCUUAUAUGAUGGUUGUUUACUAUGUUGUUUGCUUCUUUCCGGUGUUACUUCUUCGGGUUGGUUCCUGUAAAAACCGUAAAAUAAAUAAAUAAAUAGUAAUAAAAUUAGAUAACAAUAAUUUCAAUGGCGUUGCCAAAACAUUAAUUAAAAUAAUAGAAAUAACUACACUUAAUUAUUAUUUUUAUUACAGCUAAUAGCAUUUAGUCAUGCACAACAAUUCUUCUCCAAACCUCCCUAUAUUUUAUAGACCCUUGCCUCAUUUCCUUCACAUAAAAUAAAUGCCAACUAAUGGCCAGCCAAGCAAAUUACACUUGUCCCUAGUACAGCCCACAAGAGACACAAGUGGAGGCAUGCAUGCAAGACUAACCACGCAUGCAUGCCAGAUGUAAUGCCUCUCCAAACCGACAUAGCUAUUCACCCCACUAUAAAUAGGAGCCAUCCCUUUCACUGUGGCCACACACAAUCAUCCGCUGGAGAAACCCCUCUGCCUUUUCACCUUCUGCCACACUGCUAUCCUCCCCUGCUGUGAAGCUCUUUGGGUUGCAUGCGCCACCAGAUACUAAUCAAGUACCUUGUUGUGUUAGCCCUUCUUGCUUGAUUUCUUAUCUAUCUCCACUUCGGUUUGAAUCAGUCCAUAAGCAUCUAUUCACCUUGAUCUAUUUACCUUGCUGUAAAAAGAGAAACAAUAGUUAGUGAAAAAAAAACAUAAACUAGAUGGAGGAAAACAAAGACAUUGCAGUUUUGUGAUUCAUGUGUAGCUGUAAAAGAAAAUCUAUGUGUGUGUUCAUCUCUACCUUGUAUUAGAUCUGACAUGCUAAGAAUUAAAUCUUAGAAAUUAACCCAUUAUUAAGAUUGCAUGUGUAGCUUUGGGGCCAGACAAUCUGUGUAUGCUACUUGACCACUGUCAUUUUCAGUAAACAUUGGUUGGUUAAUGUUCUGUUAAGAAAUAAAUCUCAAGAUGGUAUGUCUCACUUGCACAUACCCUGUACCGGAAAAUAACCCAUUUAACUUUUGCACAAAUGAAAUCUUGCUAGAAUAUCUCACUCAUUUUUUUUCCGGUUUCCCUUAGUAUAACUAGCAAAAGUGCCCGUGCGUUGCAACGGAAGAAACAAAUUAUCACACUUAGCGCCCCAUCCUUGUUACCACUUAUUUUCUUUAUCCUCAUUGUCGGUCACGCUGUCCACUACACGGCGAACGUUCCACCUAAGCUUGGAGCUAAUGAAGAAUCGUCUACAUACACAGACCAGCGAACAGCCGCGUUUGAGAUCCCGGCCACAUCCGCGCAAUCUAAUGAUUGCGCCUUGUGUUUGUGCUAUCCAUAUUUUACAUCGUAGCAGUUCAGUACCAGUCCAUAAAGGACACAAAAAAUCUUCAAAUUUAACUUUAGUUUAAAACAACCAACACCUUUUUUUGUGGGGUAAAACGAUCAACACCAAAGAACAGGGGAGGUUGCGAGUUUGAUUCAUGUCACGGUCAACUAUUUUUGCCUCAUCUCCUAAAUGGGCUGGUGGGUCUGAUUUAUUGGGCCGGAUCGCACAGACAGGUUGGGAGGGCACUUUUUUUCAUUGGUGGAAUGUAACACAGACGAACGGGGCAGAGGCCCGGCGGCCCAGGAUAGACGAUCUGUAGAAUAGCCUAGCUGAGUACGGAUAAACGCUAUGGACAUACCAAAUGGGAGGCCAAAUAAUAUUAUACCUCCAUUUAUAUAAAAAAAUAGCAUAUAUGCCCGUAUGUUACAACAGUAAAAAAAAAGUGAUAUAAAUUUAGUGAGGAUUAUAUGCACAAACAUAACAUUCAAUGUGUUAUAAAGUUGGCGCAAAUUUAGUAAGUAUCAUAAGUGGGUCUGCUGCAACCGAAGAAAAAAUAAUGUGAAUUUAGUGAGGAUUGCAUGUAGGAAAAAAUGCCACAUCAUUUUUAUUCAUAAAAUAUGGAUGAGGCCAGUACGCCUGUCAUUGGUUCAAAUUAAAUUCCAUGCCAACCAAAUAUGGCGCCCACAAAUCCCGCACGUCCUAUCCAUUUGGUAGGGAUCCUCCCUCAAUCCUCCUAUAAUUACCGUAUAUUUCCUUAUUGUGUAUCAAGCAUGUCAUGAAUAUCAGUGGCCAGCCGGUUAAUUAUCACAUAAUGACCCUAUAUUUCCUUUCUCUCCCUUCCCUUUCGCCCUCCUUCUUUAUUUCUCAUGCAAUAUCCACGCCUUAUUUUUUUCUUUAUUUCCGAAGCAGCUCGAUGCCUGACAACCUAAGAACGUAUAUAAACUGCAAAAAACUAAUGUAAAAUAGCAAGGUGGGACUAUUUAAUAAUAUGUAAACAAUUAUGAAAAAGUCUCCAACCUGCUCCUUGUCCGUCCCGUGGGCCGCAACACCCGUCUCGGCCCAGCAUUCCGUGCCCAUCAAGCACCCAACUCCCUCAGCCCGAGUAUACUUGUUUCCUAUUCUUUAUGUUAAUGAGCCAGACGCCCAAACAGGCACAUCCAUGAGCCUAGCUAGACUGUGGUUUGCUAUGUUGGCAUCUUCACGGCAAACCAUGGUUCGAAUCCCAGUUUUCUUAUCCCGACUUUGUUUUUCUAUUUAGAUUCAAACUAAAAGCGUAAAAUCAUAGAAAAAGGGCAUUGUGACGGUGAAUCCACGGAGUCAAUCCGCGCUUUAUUAUUAGGGAUAGAUUUGAGUCUAUCAAUGUUGCUGUUCACUUGGUUGUUUGUGGGGUUCAGAGAGGAGUGUGCGCGCACACACAGUAGGAAUACUUAGAUUUAAUUUGUGGCAGCACCUAACCAUCACAAGCAAUUAACUUGCCACCCAUAGAUUUGUAGUAAGCAUUUAACAGUGGGGAUUCACUGGUUAAUUCCUAGUUUUGAGCUUAAUAAAAAGAAUCAUAGUAGUGCAGGGAUAGCAUAGUAGAGUCAAAAAUAAUGAUAAAGAAUAUGGAGCAAAUCUGCAGACCACGUCCACACCACAAGAGUAAAGCUUGAUUAAUUCCUUGGUCUUGAGAUUAACAAGAAGCAUGGCAGUAAGGGGAGUCACGGCACAAACACUUGUAGUAGAAGCAAGAACACUGCACAGAGAGGAAUUUGGACUGGCACUUACACUAGUAGCAGUAGACAAAGGCGAGCCGGGCGCUGGUAGCGGCCAUGUUGCCGGAGCCGCGCCGGUGAAGCCGCUCGCACCUGACGGCCGUAGUUGCACGCCUCAUGCGUGCAGCUCUGCUGGAGGAAGAUGUAGGCAUGGAGACGUCGUUGCCGCUGCAGCCGGUGGCAAGCCCACCGGACCUGGAUCAGGCGGCGCUAGGAUUGAGUGGUGGCGACGUUUUUGGCGGCGGCGGAUCAAAUAAAUAGGGGGAUAUGGUAGAGGGAGACGAGGAGAAUCUGUAGGUAUCUGCCGUGUCGCCGGAGAUGCCCGCACGGGGCAGAUCGAGGCGACGGUGGCCGUGCUCUGUUCUUGGGGGAGAGAGAGAGGUGAGUGGGCUGGUUCUGUUCAUGGGACAAGAAGAAGUUAAGUAGUGUCUCUGGAUAGACACGGGCCUUAACCAGCGAAGUACUAGUAGUACAGUACUGGGCUCUGGACUGAAUGACAUACGUGCAUGCUACUCUGUUUUGGAUGGCUUAAUGCAUUUUAUCUCUCAAUGAAACACUAGGACGUAUCACCACUUAGUUAAUUACAUGUGGCUUGCUCAACAUGGCCGUGUUGCUGGAUGUUAGAUUUUUAAUUAGAAAAAUAAAUAAUAAUAUAAACAUGUUCCUGAUAUAAUUAUCAGGAGUCGAUCUCGGACCCUAGGAGACACGUCUGGUGGUUCCGAGUUGAUCGAAGCGCUACCCGGCAAGUCGUCAUCUCCUUGACCAUGUCUUGAUAAUUGUUUUCUGGGCUAUGGGUCAUUUCUAAAAUUUUGCAUAAGAAUUAAAAAUAAAUAUUUUUCAUAAAUGAAAUGAGAUUUGGAUCAGGUGGAUCCACUAAUUUGGCAAUUGGACCAGAUCAGGUGAAGUAUCUGUAUUAAGUAGUUGUGACCCGGGCAGGACUACAUUAUAAAUAAAUGUUUGGUGGGUAGGGGAGCUUAUGUUGGUGAAGGCAACCCGGGUAGGGUUGGCUUGGAUGGCGGGCUCCUCUACAUAGGGUAUCACAUUAGGACACAACCAACUGGCGCUUAUUUCAAAAGCGGCGCAAAUCGUACUGAUCAUAGACCUGGAAUGGGACGGGCUGAACUGACUACCCAUGCCAAGUAGUUGCCUCUACAUGGGUGAGAAGGUGGCUGUAGCCGGGUAGGUACAGUCACCCUAGGGCGGGACCGCCGGUCAGGGGUCUCGACCCGCGGGCCUUUAGUAAGGCAAGGUGGAAAAGCAGAGGUAGUGUACGGGUUGGUUAAAGGUUCUGGUUCCUUGGUCUAGUCGUGCGCUCGGGUAGCGCAUGGACGACUUGUACCAUGUGAUGCUAUGGGCAAAGCAGUACACCUCUGAUCAGAGUAAAUGUGAUAUCACUCCCAGCUUCCGGGAUUGGAAGUGCGUCGUGUGGGUUUUUCUCUAACACAAAAUGUAAGAUCCCACGUCGCUCUGUUGCCAGUAGAUUUUAUGAAUAAAAUUUGGUUUUCAACAAAAUGGGUUAAGGGAAAAUAUUUUUACCUACAUAGUAUUUUGAGAUAAUGGCUAGGUGGUGGUAGCCGUGGCCGAUGAAGUUUUUCCUCUUUAAAAACUCAUACAUCCACUUUUCCCGGUGACUUGCGGAGUACGUAUUUUAUACGUACUCAGCUGCAUUUAUGUUGUUUUUCAGAGCAAGAGAGUUAUGAGAACUCCGAGGCGAUAGAGAAUGGUACUUAUGAUGAGUCUAGUCAUUUUAACGACUUCGGUUAUACUGAAGUGGAGUAUAAUUAUGAGAAAGUCGACAAUCAAGGCUAUGAAGAGUAGAUGCCCUCCAUGGUUGGUCGAAAAGGCUCGUACUAGAGGCGGGUGACGAUCUAUCGUCAUGGCCGCUUAGGCUUAGUCGACACUUGAGGUGUCUAUGUAAUAAAAGCUUGCCUACUCAUGGCAGCCGCUCCGUCUUGUACAUGAUACUGUUCUCCUUAACUGAUCCUGGCGCAACUCUGAAGUGACGGCUUCCGUUACGCCUGGCUCUGUUGGACGUAACGGGGCGUCACAGUUCCGAUAACGUCGCGUUUGUGAGGACCCGUUCGUCUACGUCUGUUUGUCUUCUUCAUGGACUCGUUCUUCUUCCUUGCGGGAUCUCAGGCAAGAUGAUCAUACCCUCGAAAUCACUUCUAUCUUUGCUUGCUAGAUGCUCGCUCUUUUGCUAUGCCUAUGCUGCGAUACCUAUCACUUGCUUAUCAUGCCUCCUAUAUUGUUGAACGAAGCCUCUAACCCACCUUGUCCUAACAAACCGUUGUUUGGCUAUGUUACCGCUUUGCUCAGCCCCUCUUAUAGCGUUGUUAGUUGCAGGUGAAGAUUGAAGUUUGUUCUUUGUUGGAACAUGGAGAUGUUGUUCCUUGUUGGAACAUGUUUACUUGUUGGGAUAUCACAAUAUAUCUUAUUUAAUUAAUGCAUCUAUAUACUUGGUAAAGGGUGGAAGGCUCGGCCUUAUGCCUGGUGUUUUGUUCCACUCUUGCCGCCCUAGUUUUCCGUCAUAUCGGUGUUAUGUUCCCGGAUUUUGCGUUCCUUACGUGGUUGGGUAAUAAUGGGAACCCCUUGACAAUUCGCCUUGAAUAAAACUCCUCCAGCAAUGCCCAACCUUGAUUUUACCAUUUGUCACCUAGCCUUUUCUUUCCCUUGGGUUCUGCAAACUCAAGGGUCAUCUUUAUUUUAACCCCCCCCCGGGCCAGUGCUCCUCUAAGUGUUGGUCCACCUGUCAGCUGCCGGUGGCCACCAGGGGUAACUCUGGGCUGGCCUACCCGUACCUAAGACAACCUGAGUGUGCCCUGAGAAAGAGAUAUGUGCAGCUCCUAUCGGGAUUUGUCGGCACACUCGGGCGGGGUUGCUGGUUUAGUUUUACCUUGUCGAAAUGUCUUGUAACCGGGAUUCCAAGUCUGAUCGGGUCUUCCCGCUAGAAGAAAUAUCCUUCGUUGACCGUGAGAGCUUGUUAUGGGCUAAGUUGGGACACCCCUCUAGGGAUUUGAACUUUCGAAAGCCGUGCCGUGGUUAUGGGCAGAUGGGAAUUUGUUAAUGUCCGGUUGUAGAAAACCUGAAGUUGACCUUAAUUAAAAUACAUCAACCACGUGUGUAACCGUGAUGGUCUCUUUUCGGCGGAGUCCGGGAAGUGAACACGGUGUUGGAGUUAUGCUUGACGUAGGUUGUUUUAAGAUCACUUCUUGAUCAUAGUUCAUCGACCAUGCUUUGCCUUCUCUUCUCGCUCUCAUUUGCGUAUGUUUAGCCACCAUAUAUGCUAGCCACUUGCUGCAGCUCCACCCCAUACUUUUCCUUACCCAUAAGCUUAAAUAGUCCUGAUCGCGAGGGUGCGAGAUUGUUGAGUUCCCGUGACUCACAGAUACUUUGAAAACCAGUUUGUAGGUGCCGUUGAGACCGUGCAGGAGACUCAACCAAGCUCAAGGAGGAGCUCGAUGAAGAUCUUGUCCUUUGUGUCGUUUCGUUCUAGUUGAUCAGUAGUGGAGCCCAGUUGGGGUCGAUCGGGGACCUUAUCGCAUUUGGGGUUCUUCUUUUAUUUUGGUUCCGUAGUCGGACCUUGAUUAUAUCUGGUUGAUGUAAUGUUUUAUUCUUGUAAUUGUGUGAAGUGGUGAUUGUAAGCCAACUAUGCAUCUCUUUCCCUUAUGUAUUACAUGGGUUGUGUGAAGAUUACCUCACUUGCGACAUUGCUUUCAACGCGGUUAUGCCUCUAAGUCAUGCUUCGACACGUGGGAGAUAUAGCCGCAUCGAGGGCGUUACAGCAAGAUAAGUACUCAUGGUAAUCCAGCUGAUAUGAUGACAAAGCCAGUUCCGACCAAUUAGUUUGAGUUUUGCUCAGACUUAGUUGGUAUUUCUCAAUAGUCCUAUAGACUUUGACGCACAAGGUGUUUAAACUGAUUUGGAUGGAGUUAUUCACUUUCUUCGACUACUGGAGGGAAUUUGGCUCAAGGUGGAGAUUGUUAAAUUGUGAUCCAAAUUCUAGUACCGUAUUGGACUAGACGUAGUACAUACGGUGUGGGCCUUUUGCGUUGGUACCGACGCGUACGAGUACAACUCGUUUACUUGUCCUACAAGGACUGCUAUGUAUUGCCCCUCAUAUAUACCCCAUGUAAUCGCACCUCAGACGGCAUGUCGUCUCGUGCUUAUAAUACUCCUUCUCAUAAUGAUCGCGCCUUUGUGCGUCCGUGGUUUUCUUCCGCAAGGAUUUCCACGUAAAAAUCUGUGUGUUCUCGUGUCUCUUUUAUCUCGUUAUUAUCUAAUAGAUUAGGCCAUUCGGCCAGACGAUGCCCGAUAGGCAAUGCAGUCGGCCAGGGCGAAGGGGUACGUACAUGGAGUUCGAAGUGCCCAUGGAUUGUAGGCGCGCACCGAUUGAUCAGGUGAUUACCCUAGCAUGAAUACAUGCAUGAAAGGACCCAUGUACUGGCCAGGUCGUACGUAAUUCUAAUACACAUGUGUCCCAGUGUAUGUACAUAUACAUGAAUACGUGUCUGGCUUGCCGGUACAUAGUAUGUCCUGAUUACCCAAAUACCGGCAAAUAUGUAUGCCCUUGUGGCCAAUUACCCGAUCGAUCAACGGCGUGAAUACGUGUCCACCUCGCCGGUACAUACGUAUGUCCGAAAUACCAAAAUACCGGCAAAUACGUACGCACUUGUGGCCAGUUACCCGAUCGAUCAAUGGCGUGCUGUGCACUGCUUGGAUGCUCAUGCGUGUGCAACGGAUGGAAAGAUAAGCAUCAACGCAUUUAUCUUAAAAACAGCUUCGCGUGAAUAUCUCUUUCAAAAAGAUGAGACCGGCUUCGGCGCCCAGUGUGCCAUGCAGUGUCGAUGCACCACCCGUCGGCUUCGAUGCGGCCAACAGGCCAGUCGGCUUCGCCCUGGCCGACUGCAUGCCUAUCGGGCAUCGCCUGGCCGAAUGGGCUUGAAUCCAAUCGGCUAUAGGGAAGCCGACGCUGUAUUAUUUUUGAAAAAAAAAAUCAAAUCUGUGUAUUAUUUCUUGAAUUAAUGAAAAAAUUUGUAUUAUUUUUUUUAAAAAAAUAGCCAACAAAUGCGCUCCUUCCUGCACUUUGACGUGUGCCGGUUGGUGCGGUGCGACAAUAUACCGUGGCACACCAGCUGCUUAGGAUGAGACUCAUUAGUGUCGGUUGGUGCGGUGCGACAAUACGAAUUCAAUGGCAUAAUUUUUUGGGUCACUUGACCCACAUUUUAUCAAGAUUCUUGGACUUAUCAACUCAGACACUAAUUCCCUAUGCCAAAGCUGUCUAUUGGUUGCUUUUAUUGCGUACGCCCACUCGUAUAAUAUAACAUUCCCAGAUAUGUGUUUAAAUAUGGAUCAUUUCAAGGAGUCAAAAAGAGCCAGGAUUUUCACUUUAUAUUAAACCUUAACUAUCAUGCAUACAUCUCAAAUGCCAUGCAAAGCUUAAUAGGGCGAAUGUUAACUUGAGUUCCUAGCGACAAAGCAAGGACAUCGUUUUGCUUUUUGUCUAGUCAUCUUAGUGACUUGUCUCACAAGCCUGGUAGAGAUACUUACUCGUUACAUAGCAAGGCCAUGAAGAAUUGAAAUUAGCAAAUAAUCCAAAAUCAAGCCAAAUAAUCUUUCCACACUUGUGAAUCACAAUUUCACCAUCACUAAUUAACUAACAAAUCAAUGUUUUGUAUUCAUGUUUCUGUUAUGUUACACAAAGGGUUUGGUGCGCGAUCUAUAUUUCUUUUGCUAUCCGAGUUGGAAAUCAAUCAACACUAAGAAGUUUCUCCUUGUUGGUUGAGUUUGUGAGAGGUUGUUUGUCAUGAUUUCUGGGGUUAUUCACUUUGGGGUUGCUCAUAUGCAUAUGUGCAAUAAAUGAUACAAACAUUGGCAAGCACGGCACACGCGGUAAACUAAAUGACCACAAUAAUUGGCAUGUGAUGUUUGGUGAAAAAAAUUGAUAUCUUGGCCACACAACACAGUUUCAGUUGCUAAUCUUCUAUACAUAUCUACUAGUACUAGCUUCCACAUGCAGCAGGAUCUGGCUCAGUUAAGAAAAAGGGUUUCCCCCCAUUUUGUAUUCCAAAGCAACCAUCCGAUACAUCCAACAAUAGGUGUCGGGGCGGAAGCAGCACAAGCACGCCUAAAAAAACAAAAAGAAACAAAUGCCGAUAACGGCGGAUCGGCAAAAACGAAGAAGCCUCGCGACCGCUGCGUCCACCGGAGAUCGCCCACCAAGCUCCGAGACUCCGAAGCGCCGGUACCAAUCAACACCUCCAAGAAGGAACGCGACGAUGACGACGCUGCUGCCAAGGGUUUCCCCCGGGAUCUGGCUCAGUUGCUAGGGGAGAAUGCCAAAAUUUAGGAUGAGAGCAACAAUGAGGACCAUGGUGAUUGACAUCGGCAGUUACAUAGCAUGAUCUAGUAGGGAACGAGAUGUAUUGGAAACUUGAGUUGGAUACAGGUAUGAAAAUAGAUUAAUGCAUGGAAGAGAAGUAGAUCUAACAAAACAUAGCCCAAUGUGGCGCUAUGUUGUCAAUUCAAUGCAUUUCAUCCUAGAGUGUUGAGCUGCAUAUUACAUCACUUGGGUACAUACCAAUUGGUCGAGCUAAGCAUGGCUCUGUCUCCGAAGCUGGGAAAGAUAGAAUGAAAAAUAUAUGUAUUCUAUCUCUGUUAUCCUAAAUGGGCUCGUGUGACUUAAAGCAUGAGAACACGCCGUUAUUAACAUCUACUCGUCACCUUGCCGUCUUUGGUUGUUUAUAAAUCGUGUUUGUCCAAGCCCGCCUUUCUUUCCCCAGAAAGUAGAACAAAACUUUUGUUAUAUUAACCAAAAGUUACGUUCAACAGUCAAUGAGACUUGUGCACAUAUGGUCCUUUAAGUGUGGCGAUGACAUCAGUGUCCUCCAACCGUAUAAAGGAAAACCACGUAAUAGUAAAUUAAUAUAAAUAAGGAAAUAUGUUUUACUUUGAAACUACUCCAUUUAAAAAUAGACUACAUUUUAGGCAUCUAUUUACUUGCAAUAGUAAGUGACGUUCUAGGAAAUGCCCUUUGGUGGACGGGUGCAUUGGUGGACUUAAUAAAACAUAUUUCCACAAUGCAAAAAAAUAAAAACAAUUGUACACACACAAAUACACAUAUAACACGUUCAAGAAAAAAAUUCAUAACAAUAUACUUUCAUACAUGGCAUAGACAAAAAAACAAAUACAUAAAUGAAAAUGGACCAAUCUUUUUUUAUUGUUGGGCAGGAUUUUUUUUGUGCUGCUUGCAAAUCAUAAUAUUUUAAAAUGAAAUCUCCCAAAUCCUUCAUGAAUACGUACAAGUUUCCAUAGUUUUUUUUAAAUUGAAAGUUGGAAAUAUGAUUUUUGAAUCAUUUCAAAAAAACAGGAGCCAAUGCCCCCGUCUACCAAAAGAUCCCUUCCGUGACGUUCUACGCUUUCUAGAGAUAACUCACAUCAUCUCCUAUCAUAUUCUUGUCCUCCUUGAGUGAUUUCCUUUUUUUCGACGACCAUGAGUGAAUUCCUUACUACUCCCUUCUUUCUAGAUUAUAAAGUGUCCAUACAUUUUAUGAUUCAACUUCGACCAUUAAUUGGCCAGUAACAAAUGAAUUAUUCUCAUAAAAUUGAAAUAUACGAAACUUCCUUUUGAAUACGAAUUCAGUGGCAUUACUUUUUGGGUCACUUAACCCACAUUUUACUAAAAUUAUUGCAGUUAUAACCUAAGUAAAGAUUCCCUAUACCAACAUCAUCUAUUGGUUGCUUUUAUAGUGUAUGCUCAUCCCUAUAAUAUGACAUCCCGGGUGAUGGGUAGCCUGGCCCGAAGCCGUACGUCUGGGCCAGGCUCGGACCUCACUUACCAGCCCACAGCCCGCGACCCGAAGCCCAAGAAAAGCUCGGAGAAACAUGAUUUAUACGCUUUUAUAUAAAUAUAGGUACAGUAUUAUAGUACUAAUCCCCGAAAGUAGCAAUAUUUUUAUGUUAAAAUGUGAAAAUGGGCAUUUUGUCGGGCUGCCGGUUCACCUAGGUUGGGCUCGUGCUUGUAUUUUGAGGUCGGGCUUUUUGAAACCCGGCCCGGCCUGGAAAUGCCCAGGAUUAGUUUAAAUGGAUCAUCUCAACGAGUCAAAAAAGAGGCAGGAUUGCCACUUUAUGUUAAACCUUAACUAUUAUACAUAAAUCUGAAAUGCCAUGCAAAGCUUAGUAGAGUGAAUGUUAACUUGAGUGCCUAGUUAGGGCAUGUCCAAUGCCUGAGCGCUUGCACGAGCGCUUAAGGAAAUAAAAGAAAAUUUAAACCAUGUAGCAGCGGCUGGAGCAUUCAGUCCUCCAACCUAAUGACCAGUGGCGUAGUUAGGGGGUGGUCAGGGUGGUCUAUGAACCACCCUAGAAUUUCCCCAUAGCUUGUAUAUAGUGUAGUAAAAAUAUAUUUCUUUAUAAAUAAAUAAAAUUAUGUAAAUAUUUAUAUUGAUGGGCCAUCCUGGCUUAUUGGACUGAUUACGCCACUGCUAAUGACAAGGCCAGGCGCUUAAUAUGGCACACUUCGAGUCCUAGCGCAGAAGGAAAAGAGGUCGUAGCACCCGGCGCGAGAAGUUGCGUCGACGCAAGACUGAAUCCUUGGCUUAGCUGGGAACAGAAAAAAAAAUGGCUGGGAUUUUGGGCAUAACGGCUAGGGAUUUGACCCUAGCGUCCGAGCUAAGCGCCCCCAUUGUAUGUGCCCUUACAAAGCAAGAAUAUCGUUUUUCUUUUUGUCUAGCCAUCUCAGUGACUUGUCUCACAAGCCUGGUAGAGAUACAUACUACACAUUCAUCAUCGCAAAAAAAAAGAUACAUACUACACAUUCGUUACGUAGCAAGGCCAUGAAGAAUUGAAAUUAGUAGAUAAUUCGAAAUCAAACCAAGUAGUCUUUUCAUACUUAUGGAUCGCAACUUCACUAUCACUAAUAACUAACAAAUCAGUCUUUUGUAUUCAUGUUUCUGUUAAGUUACACAAAGGGUUUGGUGGGCAAUCUAUAUUUCUUUUGAUACCCGAGAUCAAAAUCAAUCAACGGUAAGAAGUCUGUCGUUGUUGGUUGAGUUUGUGAUAGGUUCUUUGUCACGAUUUGCUAGCAUUAUUUGCUUUGGGGUUGGUCAUAUGUAUAUGUGCAAUAAAUGCUACAAACAUUGCCAAGUACGCCCAUCCUCUACAUAACUUAGAUGCACACAGUCAACAAAGUCCUCGCACCAAGCCAAAAAGAAGAAAACAAAAUAUAAAUAACUAAGUUCUGUAUAACGCCAAGUCGUAGGUGGCCCAAUUCUAAGAUCAUGCUGCCACCCAUGUUGGGUAAAAGUAUCCCUUACCGUGGCCUCCAAUCGUGUACACACCUCUGUGAACAGGUCUUAAUUCUCCACUCGUUAUAAAAAGGACCAUAAACAUAGCAUGAUCUAGCAGGGAACGGGAUGUAUUGCAAAUUUGAGUCAGAGACAAGUUUGAAAAAAGAAUCCUCAUAAGAGCAGUAGAACUAGGAAGAACAUAGCACAACGUGACUCUAUGUUGUCAAUUCAAUGCAUUUUCAUCCUAGAGUGUUGAGCUGCAUAUUUCAUCACUCAGGUACAUACCGAUUGGUCGAGCUAAGCAUAGCCCGGUCUCCGACACUUGUAAAGAUAGAAUGAAAAAUAAAUGCAGUCUGUUCAUGUAAUCCUAAGGCUGGUCAUAGUGGGGAGUAACUUAGACUAGUAACAUACAUAUGUUACUAGUCUAUGUUACUACCUUCAUAGUGGGUAGUGUCAUAGGUGUGGUAACAUAGUUGCCUUCAUUUAUUACUUUGUAGACUCAUUAUGCAUUGGAAACCGCUAUGUGAUGGUAACAUAUUAUGUUACUCUAUUUGCCUCUCUCCUCAUUAACUAGUUGCCACAUCAUCAUUUUUGCUUAUGUGGCAUCUAUGUUACUACCUAUGUUACUCCCACUAUGACCAGCCUAAAUGGAGUCUUGUGACUUCAAAAAAUGUUGAUAGAAGUACUUUUGACAAAAUAAGAGGUGGCUUAAUUUGGUGGUUGCAUUAUUACGCUAGUGAAGUGAACCUUAUCUCAAUGAUACAAACACCAUACACUGAUCGAGCUUGCAUAUAUUCAUCGAUGCAACAAAAACAAAUGUGAUCAAAUCAAUUUCUUGGUACACAACACGCAAGUCCACAUGCAUGACAACUAUUCCCUCCGUUCCUAAAUAUUUGUCUUUCUAGAUAUUUCAACAAGUGACUACAUACGGAGCAAAAUGAGUGAAUAUAUACUCUAAAAUAUGUCUAUAUACCUCCAUAUGUGAUAGUCUAUUUAAAAUUUAUAAAAAAAACAAAUAUUUAGGAACGGAGAGAAUAUAUUAGACGUCGUUGAAGCGUCUCAGGCCUCGACCUCGUCGAUGUAGUGCUCCUGGCGUCCCUGGUCGACCAGAACCCCCUGCAGCUUCUUGGCGUUGGUCGCCAACACCUUCCCGUGCUCCUCCACCAUGACUCGCCGCACCGCCACCGCGACACCGUCCCGGUCAAACGAACCGUCGUUCUCGUCCCUCGCCACCUCCACGCCGAUCCCUCUCUCUACCAUCGCCCGCGCGAUCAAGGGCUGGUCGACGACGAACGGCAGCAUCACCAGCGGGAUCCCGGAGGAGAGGCUCUCGAUGGUGGAGCCCCAGCCACAGUGCGUCAAGAACGUGCCCGUGGCGCAGUGCGCCAGCGCCUCCACCUGCGGCACCCACCCCGUGCAAACCACCCCGCGGUGCCGCGUACGUUCCUCGAACCCGGCUGGCAACAGAAGCUCGUCGUCGUUGCUGGUGCCCGCCGGCUUGCGUAGCGCCCAGAGGAAGUGCACGCCGGCGAGCUCUAGGCCGAGCGCGAGUUCAUGGGCGUUCUCUGGCGUCAAUGGCGCCUCGCUUCCCAGCGCAACGAAGAUGACGGAGUUGGGAGGCUGGUCGUCCAGCCAUCGCAGGACCUGCGGACGGACGAUGCUGCCUGAGCUGCUCUGCCGGUGGUCUUCUUCAAGGUCGCCGGGUGCCCCCGGUAGAAGGAUCCCGGCGGGGACGGCAGGCUUCCGGAAGAGAUCGGAUAGGAGGCCGAACAUCCGGGGCUCCAAUUCCUCGCAGCUCCGGUGUAUGAUCCGUUCUAAAAAAAAGCUCCGGUGUAUGGUGAGGCGGCUGCGCUCCAAGACCUGCCACCAGCGGUCCAUGUCGGACACGCCGGAUGCGUUGGUACGGAAGGCGUCGGUGAUCCACUGGGCCUCGUGGCGGAGGAAGAAGGUGGUGGACGGGAAGGGAAUCCACCUGGGUGUCUCGGCGAAGUGCUCCGGCUCCAUGCGCGGGUGUGCGGCGUUUGCCCACCGCGGCCCCAGGAAGACCGACAAGGCGGCCUGGGAGGCUGGGAAGUCAGGAACGUGGCGGAUGCCACCUUGAGCUGGUCGGCGAUGGGCGGGACCCAGUGGUGGCAGAAGUCGUGGACGAUCCAGUCGGGCCUCCUACCGGCGGCGAGGAACGCCGCGAGUGGGCCGGCGAGGCCGUCCAUGGCCUUCUUGAGGAGCCCGACCUUGUCGGGCGGCAGGUCAGACGUGACCUCGGCGCCCUCCAGCAGCCCAUCCACGGCCGGAAGAUGCAGCGGCACGAACCGGAGGCGGGCGGACAGACCGGCCGGCACGGCCGGGAGCCUGGCGAGAUUCCGCGGCGUGGACACGAAGGACACGGUGUGGCCCCUGGCCGCGAGGCGCUUGGAGAGCUCCAGGAACGGGAUCAUGUGGCCGAACGCCAGCCACGGGAACACCACCACCUCCAGCCCGCCGGCGCCGGCAGCCGCUGCUUCCAUUGCCAUCUGCUCGCAACGGAUCGAUGGAGCGAAGUAAAACAGGGAGAGGCUUGGUCUUUGGUGUUGCUGCUGGGCAGUGGGCAUAAACUAAAUAAUGGAGCUCUUGGGGAAAAGCUAUUCUCACAUGCAUUAAUAUAGCCCCGUAUAGUGGCACUCAUUAAUGCACGUUGUGCCAUGCUGUUCAAGCUUUUCCAUCAGUCGGACAGAAACGAGUCGUUGUAAGUACCGUUGAUCCAAUUAUUUUUUGAAAGGUGAAGUUCUCUAUACUCUGUCAGUUGCCUUAGCAAUAGCGUGACAUACUGAGAGUGCAUUUGAGCAAGAUAUUACUUCUAAUACUAAUUAAACUAAGUACAAGUUGUGAAUAAUUGAUAAUGGAUGAACUAUUUUUGAGUGCAACCAUUCACUGCAGGCUUCAAACUGAAGGGGUGUUUUUCUUUAUUUAAGAGGACUUGCCUUUUCUUUCAAGACAUGAUGUCAUGUGCAUUUCAUUCAAAAUCUUUUCUGAUGUACACUUGAAAUAAAAACUGACCUGCAUGUCUCGAAAAUACAUUAUAGUAACAAGGUGAUGGCUGUGAAGAAGCAUUUGAAAUAGAUGCAAGGAAAUGUAAUAAAUAAACAAGGUUCAAAAGUGAUGAACCGAUACUUACAAUGCAAAUAGUGCGAUCGUGUUGCCAGGACAUAAAUAAUCCACCAUACUACAAUAAAGGUAUGUGUGGGAGGUUAUCAGGUUAACAAAUAUUAAUAACACCAAAUAGAUGCUAUAUACACCUUUCUGGUAUUCCAGUGUACUUCUUCCGCUUUACCACCCAUCAUCAGAACUAACUCCUUGAAAGCCCAAUCGAAAUAUUCUGCAGUCUCGUUUGUAAGAAGUACUCCAGCGAAAAUAAUACUCUGGAAGUGGUUAUUCACUCCAACGAACAUCCUAAACGGCAUCUUGUAUAUGUUGGUCUCGUACGUUGUAUCGAAUGUUACAACAUCACCAAAGUGAGAAUAUAGAGCUCUGCUCUGACCACUUGUCCACAUGAGAGACCUUAGAUUUUUAUUGGCGUCCAGCUGCAUUGAGAAAACAAACCUAUUGUCCUGAGCUAUAUUGUCUCUGAAACCCUCAAUUGUUUUUCUUACAUCAUCUUUUAGAGCUUCAGCUGCAAUGUCCGAACACAAAGUCCUCAGAGCCUUCUUCAUGAAUGGAACACCAUCCGUUGUACCAUAGAAGCUGCCAACUAUGCCAUUUAUUCUGCUAAGGCUAACCAUAGUUUUGGUAGAAUCAUCUAUGUGUCUAUGAGAAAACAAAUGCUUCUUCUGGCCACAACUCUCAACCAGAUCAUGGUUGUGUUGUUCAUUGAAUAUCUUGACAUACCAUAGUAAAUCAUUGGACCUAAGCAACCUUAGCCGUGCACGACAUCCACAUCUGGUGCUGCUGAGCUUUGUCUUCUUAUCAAUGCCCUGAAAUGUCAGACAAAUAUUUGUUAAGAAUAAGAAAGAUCUAUUUGCGUAAGAGUAAUAUCGCAUAAAGUUUAUACCUAGAAACUUUCACUACCAGAAAAACUGGGGUUGCCGACGGCCAAAUCUAUGCCGACGGCCCCCGUCGGCAUCUAUGGACCUAUGCCGACGGCCAAGGAUAGGCCGUAGGCGUAGAAUAGCCGUCGGCAUACAUCCAUCUAUGCCGACGGGGCCGUCGGCAUAGACGAGGCCGUCGGGACCGUCCGAGCUACGCCUACGGGGCCUGUCGGCAUAGGACAGGCCAUCGGCAUAGCCCGGGCCCACCUGCCCGGUCAGCGCUGACCAUUUGACGGCGUUGAUCCUACGCCGACGGGCGGUAAUGGCGGCCGUCGGCAUAUCUGUGGCAGAGGUAUGCCUAUGGCAUAGCCGUCGGCAUAGGCCCCUCUGCCACGUCAACGAUCCGUGUGCCACGCCACGUCAUCGAUCCGUGUGUGCACAGAUAUGCCGACGGCCUUGCCGUCGGCAUAUGUUUACUUUACUUAAUUUUUUAUUUUUACUUUGGUUAUCUGUGGUAGAGGUAUGCCUACGGCACAGCCGUCGGCAUAGGCUCCUUCGCCACGUCAUCGAUCCGUGUGCCACGCCACGUCAUCGAUCCGUGGGACAACCUCCGUCAUCGAUCCGUGUAUUUUACUUUAUUUUUUUUAUUUUUACUUUGUUUUGUUAUUUUUACUUUAUUUUAGUUUUUGCUUUUGCAUAAGAUAAUUAUGCCUUAUCUAAAAAAACAUACCCGAUGGUAUAUCGAUUGCCCCCCGUUACGAACGUCGCUAUCGCCGUGUCACGGAGGGGGGAAAGGUCGACACGAAAUGAAUUCUGGUUGGUGGGGGGAUUCGGGGUGUAGCUAUGUCACCAAAACAUCGCACGGGUCCCGAUGCAUAUGUGAAAGUGUUCAUGCAUGCGUAGACGCCCGUCUUGGGGCUCCGGGGUGUGCCCCCCCCUCACGGACGGCGCUGCCGCCGGGACCUGGAGGGGGGAAACAGACGCGUGGGGUCUACACGGAGGGGAUCUUGCUGUGGGUCUGGCCCGGAUGUUGCUCCAAAGUGUUCCUAUGGGCUGACCUAACACAACCGGGUGGGGAGGUCCACUGGUCAAAGCCCGUUCGUGCAAAAUCAAAGGGCUAGAUUCCGUGGUCAAACGCUACAGGGUUAGGCGGGACGGGGGCACUGGGGGGUAGCAAUGCCACCGGGUCGCACCGGGCCCUCAUACAUGCGGGGUGGUGUGGUGGCAUGUCUGAAGAGGCGGGACGCGUCUCCGGUGCGUGGCCCCCCUCACGGACGGCGAUGACACGGUAGUAGACGUUCUGCAGUAACGAUGCGACGUCAAUAUUACUAAAUACUCGAAGCGCGAUAAAAUCAUGAGUUUUUUUGCACGACGUGGGCACAUGUGCUAUACGAACGAUGGUAUUUUUUCAUAAUUUUUGGUGAUGGAGAAGUAUCCGAAAAAUUCCCUCUACGCGGAUUGCCCUUCGCGCGUCUACGGCUGUGGCCGGCGGCCUCCGGGGGCUAGCAUGCCGCCAAAUCUUGCGUAGGCGGCCUCUCACAAGUCUGGAAGUGUUGUGGCGGUUGCAAACGCCCAGCACGCGUGUCCGGGGUGUGCCCCCCCCCUCACGGACGGCGCUACCGCUGGCACCUGGAGGGGAGAAACGGACGCGUGGGGUCUACACGGAGGGGAUCUUGCUGUGGGUCUGGCCCGGAUGUUGCUCCAAAGUGUUCCUAUGGCUAACCUAACACAACCGGGUGGGGAGGUCCACUGGUCAAAGCCCCGUCUGUGCAAAGUCAAAGGGUUAGAUCUCGUGGUCAAACGCUACAGGGUUAGGCGGGACGGGGGCACUGGGGGUAGCAAUGCCACCGGAGCGUCGCACCGGGCCCUCAUACAUGCGGGGUGGUGUGGUGGCAUGUCCGAAGAGGCGGGACGCGUCUCCGGUGCGUGGCCCCCCCCUCACGGACGCGAAGACACGGUAGUAGACAUUCUGCGGUAAUGAUGCGGCGUCAAUAUUACUAAAUACUCGGAGCGCGAUAAAAUUAAGAGUUUUUUUGCACAACGUGGGCACAUGUGCUAUAGGAACGAUGGUAUUUUUUCACAAUUUUUGGUGAUGGAGAAGUAUCCGAAAAAUUCCCUCUACGCGGAUAGCCCUUCGCGCGUCUACGGCUGUGGCCGGCGGCCUCCGGGGGCUAGCAUGCCGCCAAUCUUGCGUAGGCGGCCUCUCACAAGUCUGGAAGUGUUGUGACGGUUGUAAACGCCCGGCACGCGUGUCCGGGGUGUGCCCCCCCUCACGGACGGCGCUGCCGCCGGCACCUGGAGGGGGGAAACGGACGCGUGGGGUCUACACGGAGGCGAUCUUGCUGUGGGUCUGGCCCGGAUGUUGCUCCAAAGUGUUCCUAUGGGCUGACCUAACACAACCGUGUGGGGAGGUCCACUGGUCAAAGCCCGUCCGUGCAAAGUCAAAGGGCUAGAUCCCGUGGUCAAACGCUACAGGGUUAGGCGGGACGGGGCACUGGGGGUAGCAAUGCCACUGGAGCGUCGCACCGGGCCCUCAUACAUGCGGGGUGGUGUGGUGGCAUGUUCGAAGAGGCGGGACGCGUCUCCCGUGCGUGGUCCCCCCUCACGGACGACGAUGACACGGUAGUAGACGUUCUGCGGUAACGAUGCGGCGUCAAUAUUACUAAAUACUCGGAGCGCGAUAAAAUCAAGAGUUUUUUUGCAAGACGUGGGCACAUGUGCUAUAGGAACGAUGGUAUUUUUUCAUAAUUUUUGGUGAUGGAGAAGUAUCCGAAAAAUUCCCUCUACGCGGAUUGCCUUUCGCGCGUCUACGGCUGUGGCCGGCGGCCUCCGGGGGCUAGCAUGCCGCCAAAUCUUGCGUAGGCGGCCUCUCACAAGUCUGGAAGUGUUGUGACAGUUGCAAACGCCCGGCACGCGUGUCCGGGGUGUGCCCCCCCCCCUCACGGACGGCGCUGCCGCCGGCACCUGGAGGGGGAAAACGGACGCGUGGGGUCUACACGGAGGGGAUCUUGCUGUGGGUCUGGCCCGGAUGUUGCUCCAAAGUGUUUCUAUGGGUUGAACUAACACAACCGGGUGGGGAGGUCCACUGGUCAAAGCCCGUCCGUGCAAAGUCAAAGGGCUAGAUCCCAUGGUCAAACGCUACAGGGUUAGGCGGGACGGGGGCACUCGGGGGGUAACAAUGCCACUGGAGCAUCGCACCGGGCCCUUAUACAUGCGGGGUGAUGUGGUGGCAUGUCCGAAGAGGCGGGACGCGUCUCCAGGGCGUGCCCCCCCCUCACGGACGGCGAUGACACGGUAGUAGACGUUCUGCGGUAACGAUGCGACAGAGGUGGAACGUNNNNNNNNNNNNNNNNNNNNNNNNNNNNNNNNNNNNNNNNNNNNNNNNNNNNNNNNNNNNNNNNNNNNNNNNNNNNNNNNNNNNNNNNNNNNNNNNNNNNNNNNNNNNNNNNNNNNNNNNNNNNNNNNNNNNNNNNNNNNNNNNNNNNNNNNNNNNNNNNNNNNNNNNNNNNNNNNNNNNNNNNNNNNNNNNNNNNNNNNNNNNNNNNNNNNNNNNNNNNNNNNNNNNNNNNNNNNNNNNNNNNNNNNNNNNNNNNNNNNNNNNNNNNNNNNNNNNNNNNNNNNNNNNNNNNNNNNNNNNNNNNNNNNNNNNNNNNNNNNNNNNNNNNNNNNNNNNNNNNNNNNNNNNNNNNNNNNNNNNNNNNNNNNNNNNNNNNNNNNNNNNNNNNNNNNNNNNNNNNNNNNNNNNNNNNNNNNNNNNNNNNNNNNNNNNNNNNNNNNNNNNNNNNNNNNNNNNNNNNNNNNNNNNNNNNNNNNNNNNNNNNNNNNNNNNNNNNNNNNNNNNNNNNNNNNNNNNNNNNNNNNNNNNNNNNNNNNNNNNNNNNNNNNNNNNNNNNNNNNNNNNNNNNNNNNNNNNNNNNNNNNNNNNNNNNNNNNNNNNNNNNNNNNNNNNNNNNNNNNNNNNNNNNNNNNNNNNNNNNNNNNNNNNNNNNNNNNNNNNNNNNNNNNNNNNNNNNNNNNNNNNNNNNNNNNNNNNNNNNNNNNNNNNNNNNNNNNNNNNNNNNNNNNNNNNNNNNNNNNNNNNNNNNNNNNNNNNNNNNNNNNNNNNNNNNNNNNNNNNNNNNNNNNNNNNNNNNNNNNNNNNNNNNNNNNNUCUUCGGACAUGCCACCACACCAUCCCGCAUGUAUGAGGGCCCGGUGCGACGCUCCGGUGGCAUUGCUACCCCAGUGUCCCCGUCCCACCUAACCCUGUAGGGUUUGACCACGGUGUCUAGUCCUUUGACUUUGCACGAACGGGCUUUGACCAGUGGAUUUCCCCACCCGGUUGUGUUAGGUCAGCCCAUAGGAACACUUUGGAGCAACAUCCGGGCCAGACCCACAGCAAGAUCCCCUCCGUGUAGACCCGACGCGUCCGUUUCCCCCUUCCAGGUGCCGACGGCGGCGCCGUCCGUGAAGGGGGGCACACCCCGGACACGCGUGCCGGGCGUUUGCAACUGCCACAACACUUCCAGACUUGUGAGAGGCCGCCUACGCAAGAUUUGGCGGCAUGCUAGCCCCCGGAGGCCACCGGCCACAGCCGUAGACGCGCGAAGGGCAAUCCGCGUAGAGGGAAUUUUUCGGAUACUUCUCCAUCACCAAAAAUUAUGAAAAAAUACCAUCGUUCCUAUAUCACAUGUGCCCACCUCGUGCAAAAAAACUCAUGAUUUUAUCACGCUCCGAGUAUUUAGUAAUAUUGACGCCGCAUCGUUACCGCAGAACGUCUACUACCGUGUCAUCGCCGUCCGUGAGGGGGGGCCACGCCCCGGAGACGCGUCCCGCCUCUUCGGACAUGCCACCACACCACCCCGCAUGUAUGAGGGCCCGGUGCGACGCUCCGGUGGCAUUUCUACCCCCCAAGUGCCCCCGUCCCGCCUAACCCUGUAGCGUUUGACCACGCGAUCUAGCCCUGUGACUUUGCACGGACGGGCUUUGACCAGUGGACCUCCCCACCCGGUUGUGUUAGGUCAGCCCAUAGGAACACUCUGGAGCAACAUCCGGGCCAGACCCACAGCAAGAUCCUCUCCGUGUAGACCCGACGCAUCCGUUUCCCCCCUCCAGGUGCCGGCGGCAGCGCCGUUCGUGAGGGGGGUACACCCCGGAGACGCGUGCCGCCUCUUCGGACUUGCCACCACACCAUCCCGCAUGUAUGAGGGCCCGGUGCGACGCUCCGGUGGCAUUACUACUCCCCCACGGCCCCCGUCCUGCCGUGUAGGCCUCACGGGCGUGGGUGCCGCCGUGUCCCGGAGUGGGGAAACGGCCACAUCGGGCCGACACGGAGGGUAUCUUUGGGUGGUUUGGGCCGGAAUGGUGUUGGGGGGUGCAACACAUGCCGUAACAAAAAAAUAAAAAAUAAAAAAAAUGCCGUAACAAAAAAAUAAAAAAAUGCAAAGUAUCUAUGCCGACGGCUUAGCCGUCGGCAUAGCAGCGCACAUGUCCACGGAUCAAUGACGUGGCAAAGGGGCGGGCCUAUGCCGAAGGCCAGGCCGUCGGCAUAGGGCCGACCUUAUCCCCUUGCGGUUCGCCCCCACCACCCAUUCGCCAUCCAUCUCCCCUUCCUCCCCGACNNNNNNNNNNNNNNNNNNNNNNNNNNNNNNNNNNNNNNNNNNNNNNNNNNNNNNNNNNNNNNNNNNNNNNNNNNNNNNNNNNNNNNNNNNNNNNNNNNNNNNNNNNNNNNNNNNNNNNNNNNNNNNNNNNNNNNNNNNNNNNNNNNNNNNNNNNNNNNNNNNNNNNNNNNNNNNNNNNNNNNNNNNNNNNNNNNNNNNNNNNNNNNNNNNNNNNNNNNNNNNNNNNNNNNNNNNNNNNNNNNNNNNNNNNNNNNNNNNNNNNNNNNNNNNNNNNNNNNNNNNNNNNNNNNNNNNNNNNNNNNNNNNNNNNNNNNNNNNNNNNNNNNNNNNNNNNNNNNNNNNNNNNNNNNNNNNNNNNNNNNNNNNNNNNNNNNNNNNNNNNNNNNNNNNNNNNNNNNNNNNNNNNNNNNNNNNNNNNNNNNNNNNNNNNNNNNNNNNNNNNNNNGUCCCCGCCCCGACCUCCAUCGACCCCGCCCCGGCAGCCACUUCGUUCGUGCCUGCCCCUCCGCCGCCUGCUCUGGCCCAUUGUUCGUGCCUGCCCCUUCCCCCGAGCCGGCCCUCCCCCACGGUGAGCUCCCUCCCUCCCUCUCUGUAGAUUUUUUUGAUAAUUUUGUUGUUGUUCAUAGUUAUGUAACUAGAUGGAUGGAUGCAUAGUUAGUUGAUAAAUGAUUUGAUGAUAUUUACAAAUGUGAGAAAUGCAAGAAAAGCAAUUUUUUUAACAAGGGGCAUGACGUUAGAUGAUAGAUUUUUUGAUGAUAGUUGCAAAUGUAUGAUGAUUGUUACAUGAUAGAUGAUGAUGUUAAUGAUGAUAGAUGAUGAUGUUGAUGAUAGAUAAUGAUUUUUUUGCGGAAGAGAUGAUAUAGGAUGUUGAUUUUUAUGAUUCGAUGAUUGUUAGAUGAUGAUGAUGAAUAUAUUGUGAUGUACUUAAUUAUUGUCACGGUGCAGGUUCUGUGGUGUUCCAUCUCAGUGGAGUGAUCGUCGUAGGAGUUGUUGGUCCCCGGUUGUCCCUCCGGUGUUCGGCUACUUCCUCUACAGCCGAGGGUGAGCUACGAAUCAUGUGACUAGAUUUCAUUCUCAAGUCAACUGACGUAACCUAGGCGUCUCCCGUUCGAAAGGGUUGCAUCGAUAAAUAUGCAUUCAAUUGCAUAUUUAUCACUGCAGCUCUUUCGGAUUGUCCAGCGUUUUCCAUGGACAGCCCGAGAAUGUGUAGAUUGGGUAUGUUCUCCAUGUUCUACCCCAUUCCAAGACAGGAUUUCGGCGGCGCCUCCCCAUUGUUCUCCGGAGCACAUUCUCUCGGCUAUUUGCCGAGACGUGUAUCUGGAGAACAGCGGGGAGGUGCUGCCGAAAUUUUUAUCUCGGAACGGGGUAGAAUGGAGAACGUACUCAAUCUACACAUCCUCGGGUGGGAUUAGGACCCAUCUUUACCUACUGGAGAUGUAGGUGGAUUAAAUGCGGUAGAAACUGAAAAUUUGAUGUGAUUAAUUUAAGUGAAUCCUUAAUUAUGUUGUGUGGGUUGCAAAAAAGCAGAGGAUGGCAGAUAAUUAGUGGAUGUACAGUGGUUUUAUCCGUCGGAAUCGAGUAACAUCAGAGUGGAUCACGAAAACCGAUGUGUAUUUGAAGGAGAUAUUCCGUCAUCCAAUGAGAAUUAUCCCACCAUGCCCCUAUGCGAGAUGUGCUAGACGUCACCGUGGAAAUCAGACGGACAUGAGUGAGCACCUUGGCACGCACGGAUAUAUGCCAAACUUUGACAUGCCGUCGAUAAACAUAGCCGAGCAGGACCAUGGUAGAGAGGAGGUGAUGCGACAACGCAUCGAUGGAUAUGAGGACGACGCGGUCAGGGACAUGCUAGAUGAUGUCAUUGUUGUAGAAACGGCAAAUGCGACACCUUCAGAGAAUGAACCGGAGGAGCCGGAGGCAACCGCAAAGGCCUUCUUGGAGGUCUUGGCCUCGUCGAAGAAACCUCUUUAUGCGGGGGCGAAAAUAUCUCAGCUGGAUGCCAUCUCGCAACUGAUUGCAGUCAAGGUUGAGUACGGCUGUAGCCAGAAAUGCUUCGAAGCAUUCCUGGGAGUAUGGGCUAACAACCUCCCUGAGGGUCAUGAACUGCCGAAAAGCAUGUACGAUACAAAGAAAAUCAUGAAGGCACUCUCUAUGGAUUAUGAGAAAAUAGAUGUUUGCCCGAAGAAUUGCCUUUUGUUUAGGCACGAGUAUGCGGAUGACAAGUACUGUAGGAAGUGCGGUUCGUCUCGGUACAUUGAGGUGGUCGGUGAGGAUGGUGAGUAAAAGCAGCUAACCAUCCCCGUUAAGGUUCUUCGGUAUCUUGAUUUUAUAAAAAGACUGCAGCACCUUUUCAUCACGAAGGAGUCUGCCAAAAUGAUGAAGUGGCACAAGGAAGGUAUAAGGUACAAUCCAAAAAAAAUCGUACAUCCAUCGGGAGGGGAAGCAUGGAAGUCAUUCGAUAAAGAAUACCCCGAGGAAGCAGCCGAGGCUGGGAAUGUCAGAAUAGCCAUAUCAGGUGAUGGGUUGAAUCCAUAUGGUAUGUCGUCCAAUCCAUACAGCUGCUGGCAUGUGUUUGUAAUUCCGCUCAAUCUUCCUCCCGGUGCCCUAAUGCAACGGAAGACCAUGUUCUUGUCGCUCAUCAUUCCGGGGCCUGACUACCCGGGGAAGCAAUUGGGUGUGUUUAUGCAGCCGCUUGUGGAUGCUUUGCACCAUUCUUGGUACUUUCCGAGGUUGACAUACGACCGGGAUCUGCAGAGAAAUUUCUUGAUGAAAGUUUGGUUGCACUAUUGCAUGCAUGACUUUCCCGGCUAUGCUCUAUUCUGCGGAUGGUGUACAAGUGGUAAGAUGCCAUGCCCGGUGUGCAUGCAGGCUCUGCGAAUGAUUUGGCUGAGUAAGGGUGGCAAGUAUGUAGCCUUUGACCUGCAUCGACAGUUCCUCCCUCCAGACCAUACAGACAGGGAAGACAAGAAGAACUUCAUGAAAGGCCGGGUUGUUCAUGAAGUAACCGAGAUUCCAACAUUUUUGGGGGCAGAUGUUCUUGCUCAGCUAAAAGCUCUCAAGCCUAAAGUCAAAGACAAAGGCAAAGCCAAAGCCAAAGGCUUCGAGGGAUAUGGUGAGACGCACAACUGGACGCACAUUACCCCCUUCUCGCAGCUUCCCUAUUUCAAGGACCUCAAACUUCCUUACAAUAUUGAUGUGAUGCACACCGAAAAGAAUGUGGCAGAGUCCCUUUUCCACACGAUCCUCAACAUUCCUGAUAAGACGAAGGAUAACGUAAAAGCUAGAGCCGAUCAACAGAGAAUUUGUGAUAGACCACGCCUGAACAUGAAGCCUCCCACAGGCGGUCGAAAAAACUGGUUCAAGCCAGAUGCUGACUUUGUCCUUAAACCGCCAGAAAAAAAAAGAAGUACUUAUCUGGCUGAAACAAAUUUUGAAGUUCACCGAUGGUUAUGCAUCGAAUAUAAGUAAGGGAGUUAAUCUUUCAACGGGCAAAGUGACCGGCCUGAAGAGUCAUGACUACCAUGUAUGGAUUGAGCGGAUAAUGCCGGUGAUGGUUCGACACUAUGUCCUCGAGCAUGUCUGGCGAGUGCUUGCCGAGCUUAGCCAUUUCUUCCGCACACUCUGUGCUAAAGAAGUAAGUAAAGAGGUGAUUGAAAAAUUGCAUAAGAAGGCACCGGAGUUGAUAGUCAAGCUAGAGAAGAUCUUUCCGCCAGGCUUCUUUACUCCGAUGACACAUCUCAUUCUGCACCUCGCGAACGAGGUAUUGUUGGAGGGCCCUGUGCAAAAUCGCUGGCAGUACGGCCCUGAGAGGCAGAACAAGCAUCUCCGAUGGAAAUGUGGAAACAAAGCUAAGAUUGAAGCUUCCAUAGCUGAGGCAGUUAUCCUAGAGGAGGUGUCAGACCUCAGGACAUCAUACUAUCCAGACCAUGUUCCCCAUCUGCAUAACAAGGUGCCUCGAUACAAUAUAGAAGAGCCCAAGUAUCAACCCAGGCUCGAUCUAUUCAACGCGCAAGGUGGGAGGGCUGGGGCCUCGAAAUCUUAUAACAUGCCACGACAAGAGUGGGAGGACCUCAUGUUCUAUAUCUUGCACAACAUCAAGGAAGUUGAGGAAGUGUGGAUGAGGUAAUACCACUACACCAUUCCUUUAUGUCUUCCACAUCAUCAUGUUUCAUGUUCACUUAGUCCCGGUCUAACACCGCUUAUCUUUUUUUAGUGAUUUCGUUCAAGAGGAAUGGAUGGGAGUGAAUCCUCCUACUGAGGCGGGGCACUUACUCUUCUCCGUCAUGGAAACCCUGGACGUAAAAAUUUUGUUGCUUGGUUCAUGGAGAAAGUAAUUUUCCACACUCCCCUAUUAAAUACCUACUUCAACAUUUAUUAGUUAACCAAAUUAAUGCAAGCAACAAUUUCCAUUAUACUUGUAGGGAAAAGAUCCGAACAUAUCUAUGGAUGAUGAAUUGAGAUGGGUUUCCAUGGGUUUUGACCCUGCCGUCAUGACAUGUAAAAAGUAUGAUGUGAAUGGGUAUCGCUUCCAUAUAGAGGAGCACCAAAACAGCCGCCCCGAUCCCAAAACUAUAAAUACUGGAGUGUACACCCCCGGUCAAAAUUCAGUAGACUACUACGGAAGGGUACAAAAUAUAUACGAGGUUAAAUUCCGCCGGGGGCGUGAGACCCUAAGUCUGCCUGUGUUCAAAUGCCGAUGGUUCGAUCCGUGGGAGGGGGUAAAACAUACGCCUUCCAUUGGUUUGGUCAAAGUUAAACCAUCAACCAUCUAUGCCAGAGCCGAUCUCUUCAUUGCGGCUACCCAAGCUACACAAGUAUAUUAUCUGCCUUACCCAUGCCAGAAAGUGUAUCUAAAGGGUUGGGAAGUUGUGUUCAAGGUGUCGCCACAUGGUAAGCUACCAGACCCGAAUGAAGACGAUUACUACAACAUUAACCCCAUGACAUACGAGGGAGUGUUCUAUCAAGAGCAACCUGAUGAUGAUGAUGAUGAUGAUGUGGUUAGAAACGAUGACGCUAGACCAUUGGGUGAUGAUGAUGUGGACCCAAACGUCGACGAUGCACGGAAUGAUGGUGAGACCAUUGUCAAUGAAAAUGACAUACUUAUGCUAGAAAAGUUAAACGAAGACGUUGACGACGAGGAAGAGCCUCCACCUCCGUCGGACAAUGAAGAUGAUAUGAUUGAUAGUGAUGAUGAGACGGACCGAGAAAGAGGUUACAACAGUGAUGAUUCAUAUGGGUUCUAGCAGAUGUACGUUUCAAGUAUUUUUUUCUAUAGUUUAGGAAUAUGCCUUUUUAUGCCUUUUUAUUAAUGUGUUUAUUAUCAUGCCUUUUCCUUCAUUUCAUUAAUUUACUAAUUGCUUUUUAUCUUUUCAAUGCAGGUUCGUGGAACAUGGGCAAGGGGAAGGCCGACGGCGUGGGUUUCCUACGCAAGGUCGUCGGCCUGCCUAGUCGGAGUGGUCGAGCAGGUAAUCCUCCCCCUCGGCUACUUGACGAUGACUCCUCACAGGGAGGUCGAGGGAGAGGUGCCCCUAGAGGAGGAGGGGCGGGGGGAGAGCCUCUAGAGGACGAGGUGCUGGGGGAGAGCCGCUACAGGGGGUCGCGGCCAGAAAGAGCGCACCCUCACCGACUUAGGGGUGUUGUCUUCGAGGCCCUCCUCUAGUGAGGUACACUCUAGGGAGGAGGAGGAGGAGGAGGUGGUGGUGGAGGAGNNNNNNNNNNNNNNNNNNNNNNNNNNNNNNNNNNNNNNNNNNNNNNNNNNNNNNNNNNNNNNNNNNNNNNNNNNNNNNNNNNNNNNNNNNNNNNNNNNNNNNNNNNNNNNNNNNNNNNNNNNNNNNNNNNNNNNNNNNNNNNNNNNNNNNNNNNNNNNNNNNNNNNNNNNNNNNNNNNNNNNNNNNNNNNNNNNNNNNNNNNNNNNNNNNNNNNNNNNNNNNNNNNNNNNNNNNNNNNNNNNNNNNNNNNNNNNNNNNNNNNNNNNNNNNNNNNNNNNNNNNNNNNNNNNNNNNNNNNNNNNNNNNNNNNNNNNNNNNNNNNNNNNNNNNNNNNNNNNNNNNNNNNNNNNNNNNNNNNNNNNNNNNNNNNNNNNNNNNNNNNNNNNNNNNNNNNNNNNNNNNNNNNNNNNNNNNNNNNNNNNNNNNNNNNNNNNNNNNNNNNNNNNNNNNNNGCGAGGAGGAGGAGGAGGAGGAGGUUGGAGAGGAGGUUGGGGAGGGGGAGGCAGGCGAGGAGGAGGGUGGUGGCGGGGAUGAUGGUGGUGAUGGGAAGGGGGUUGACAAGAAGUGGUGGCUGCGUGGUAACGCAAAGCUACCAAAGCAGGUUCCGGCUACUGAGGAGCAGAAGUGGCUCAUUGAGCCCACGGGAAAAGAGUAAGUGGUUCAUUAUUUUGCUUGUCACAUGCUUAUUCUGGUUGUUCUUUAUUUUGCUUGUCACAUGCUAAUAGUUCGUUCUUUUGCAGCAACUGGAUAUAUUCUAAAGGGGUCCGUAUUCCCAACGGCCUCAUCACCGUCUUGCUGAAGUUAUACUGGUCGGGGUUGUACUGUCCGGAUCCAGUCAGGCAGCUGGCUCGUCGGGUUUUGGCCACGAGCUGGGACCACUGGGAAGCGGCCCGCUACGCGGACCAUGAGACCCAUGCCAAGGCCGUGAUCACUACUUUCUGGGUGAGUUCUCUUCAGAAGAACAAGUCCAUUCUAGUUUCAUGAAAAUGAUUUAACUCGUGGCUUCUUCCAUUCUUAUUUCAUGCAUGAUUGUAGAAAUUCUAUCGAGUUCUUCCGGAGCACAGGGCUAGAGCGGACCAGAUCGUGCUGCGACAAUGCAAGAAGAAGGCCCGCCAGAUGCAGUACGAGGUGCGCUAUGUGGCCAUCUCCACAUACUACCACGACUAUCUUGGUGUGAAGAUGACCAAGGAAGAAGCGCGGAGGAUGGGCAUUACCUUGGAGAGGCCCGAGUUCUUGGCGGUAAGUAUAAAAGAUUUUUCAUUAUGCUUUCAUAUAUUAUGCUUUCAUUAUGCUUUCAUUACCUUGUGGUACAUUAUGCUUUAUGCUUUAUGCUUCCAUAACAUCAAUUUGGACACACCUACAUGCCAUUAUGCUUUUAUUAUGUAGGUGUGUCCAAAUUGGUGUUAUGGAAAAGACGAGUCCUGGGCGGCAUUGGUGGAUCUUUGGUGUGAUGAGGCUGGAGCCUGGGCGGCUAUGAGAACCAAAAAUAAGGCUAACCGAGGGACGGAGGGAGUACAUGCUCAGGGAAACCGAAACCACUAUCUCCACAAGGCAGUUAAUGUAUGACUAACCCCAUUAAACAUUCUUCUUCUUCUAUUUACCAUCACUUUCUUAUGUAUGACUAACCUCUGUUUGGUGGUGCAGGAGGAGAAACUGAAGCGGCCGCUCUCACACAUGCAGGCGUGGGAGAUCGCCCAUACGCGGAAGGACCCCAAGCCUGGCGAGCCCAAGUACUACGGCAAGAAGACCACAGGGAGGAAGAAGGCCUACUCCGAAGCGUAUCUGAAGUUACAUCCUGACACACCUGACCCUAUUGCGGCGCCUCUGAAUGACAUGGCGGUGGUGAGGAUGGGGCCCAAGGAGCACGGUCGGGAGGCGGUUCUCGAUGCUGUGAUCGCUCCUAGUAUCUCCUACACACAGCUUCGUCGGAUCGACCCGAGCCUGAGCCAGCGCACGAGCCAGCCAGUGACCAGUACACAGUCCCUCUUUCAGGAGCAACAAUCUGUAAGUAUUUUCCCUCUUAUCUUCAUUGCUCACUUUAUUUUCCGCAUUUAGUAGUUUUAUGAGUUCCAUCAUGUCAUACCGUAGGCCUACCUGGAGUACACACGCCAGGAGACCAUGGCGUGGCAUCAGAGGCUUUAUGAACACCAAGUGUAGAGGGAUAGCCAGAUGCAGCAGGCUUUUCAGGAUAUGGCGGCCGGCAGGUGUCCUCAGUUCCCUCCAGCACAAUGCCCUCCAGCACAACCAGUGCUGAUGAGCUUUGAGGAGUUUGUGGCACAGAACGUUGGCCCCUCGCCGGUUAGUUCAUCCCCAAUCUAUUCACCCAAAGCAUGUCAUGCCUUUCAACACAAUCAUAUAUCCCGUGCAUAUGUCUUUUCAACAUCCAGGAAACAGGUGGAUCUACCGUUGGCGGUGGUCUUCGUAGCACUCCGGAGACACGGAGCCCGACCACUCCUAUCCACGGAGGCGGAGGCGGAGGUGGAUGCGGAGGCGGUCUUGGCGGUAGCGCUGCCGCUAGCAGUGACGACCUGGGCUUCGGCCGUCUUGGCGAUGACGACCUCCGCGGUGCUCGAUGAUCCUUGUGUGUGGUGAUGAUGCUUGAGAUGACUUGUGUGUGGUGAUGAUCAUUUAGAUGACUUGUGUGCUUCUCUAUAUGCUUAUGCUUAUGUUGGUUGUGAUGAUGUUCAUUUAGAGACUUGUGUGUGAUGAUGCUUAUGCAUAUAUUGUUGUGAUGGUGUCGGAUGAUAUCCCGUUGUGUUUUAUAUGUCUAUCCCAUCAUAUAUAUCUGCUCAUAUGUGCUGUUAUUUGAAUUGAAUUGAUUUGAAAACAAACACUAAAAAGAAAAAAAAAGAAAAAGCAAACUAUGCCGACGGCUAGGCCGUCGGCAUAGGGCUAGUGUGAGCUCCCAGUAGCUGACACGUGGCACCUAUGCCGACGGCCUAGCCGUCGGCUUAGUUUAUGUGCCGACGGCUAGACCGUCGGCAUAGGCGCCCAUGUGUCAGCUACUGGGAGCUCUGUAUGAAGGACUAUGCCGACGGCCCAGCCGUCGGCAUAGCCCUGGUCCACGAGCAGCGGUUGGUCGCCACGUGGCACACCUAUGCCGACGGUCGAGCCGUCGGCAUAGUUUUUGACUAAGCCGACGGCUAGGCCAUCGGCAUAGGGGUGCCACGUGGCGACCAGUCGUUGGGCAGACUUGACGGCAGCCGCCGUUAGGCGUGAUAGUUGCCGACGGCCGCGGCCAUCGGCAUAGAUGUACGGCCCCCGUCGGCGUAUCAUAUAUGCCGACGGCUUUUCUAUGCCGACGGCCUCCCUGGCUGUGCCGACGCAUAUGUUGCCGAUGGCCCUAUGCCGACGGGGGCCGUCGGCAUAGGUCUAUCCCGGCGGGACUCAGGCCUAUGCCGACGGCCCUGGCCGUCGACAUAGGGGGCGAUUCCGGUAGUGUUUAUACCUCACGCUGGCAUCUGAACCCUUGCAUAGUUCGCUCUCCCUUGGUGUUAGUAUACGAGUCAUCACUCCUUAAGCUGAACCCAACGACCCUUGAAUAUAAAUUGUAGAACUGGUAACCUUCGCUUGCUGAACCAAAUAUCAUGCCUACUUCAGGCUUGAACAAGGUUACUGUUUUAUCUUUACUGUAUGCUCUUAUAGACUGCUCCAUUAAAUUUGGUAUUCUCUUCUCUCCGAAAAGAGUAGUUAUACCAUCUGGAUGCAUUUUUCUAAGGAUGUGCAAGGUGUGAUUUAAUAAUAAGUGAAAAACAGGAAUUAGCAUCAAGGACUUUAUGUUGAUCAACAAACCUGUAGCAGUGUGAUUUGCUUGAAGCAUCAUCAUCAUCGUUCUCUACAGCCAUUGAAGAAAAACUACGUAUAGUGGAUGUUUGGUUAGCUGAAGAGGCACAUAACAACUCUCUAUUUUGGUCAUUUUCGAUUAGGGAGGCUGGAUCAUCUUUGUUAUCCUGGAUACAACAUGAUUUAUGGUUGUGUUCCAACCUGCAGACAUUAAAAUAGUUAAGCAUACAUCCGGAUUUACAUUAAGUUAUAUUUAAACGAUAUAUUUUGACAUAUGGAGAAAUAUAGCUUGCCUGGAAUAGUCUGAAUCAUUUGAGUACUCUUCUUCAUCUGAAUUUAUUGGUACAGGUGAAUCUACCAAUGCUAUUUUCUCUUGACAAUCCCCACUGAACAGAUAAACAGAAUAUAUUAUUAUAAUAACAGAAUCUAAGUCGAUUUUAUAGAACAUUUCAAGUGCAAAAUAUUCCACACGCAUUGCUUAGAGUUAUACUUCACUAGCCUGGGCAAGUGUUCACCGUUAGAGUAAUUUAUUUCAUCCGGCUCGAUUGGCACUGUUGAAUCAACCAAAGCAUUGUUCUCUUCACACUGCACUCUGGAAAUGUUUAAAUGGUAGAGGAUAAUAAGAAAAAAGUAUUUAAUUGGAUUCAAGGAAAAGUUCAAAGAAAUUACCUCCCGAUAAUUGAGGGAUCUGCAACACGUAGCAGAUCCAUAAAAGAGCCACCAACAUCUCCGCCAAACACAUCCAUUGAAUUUAAAAGGGGAUAGAACUACACACGAUAGUUGAAGAUCUGUGCCAAUUUAAGUUCUUAGGUGACAUGCCAAAAAUGCUUAGAAGUGCUUAGUUGCCAGCUAGAAAAAAUACUACUUAGUUUCCAGAUUAAAAAGUUCUUAGUUGACAUGCUUAAAAACUGCUCACUUGCCGGGUUAAGUGAUAUGCUGAAAAUGCUUAGUUGACAGGCUAAAAAAUGCUCAGUUGCCCAUAUUAAUUAUAACUACUUGCCAAAAAAACUGAAAAAUCUAGGUAAGUGUACAACAAACACAAAUGGGGGCGCUGAGAGAAAAAGGCAGCACUAAUUACCGGCCGCUAGCUGAAUCCAUGAAAGCAAAAAAACACGCAUCGCUGAGAUGCAAAAAAGUCGGGGAUCCCCUGUGUCCAUCCGACCACCUCUUUCUCCUUCCCCCACUAUAGUGGCUCUUGCCCUUGAUGCCCAGCAGGGAGCAGAUCCCAUGCCCUCUCGGCCCCUGAUGGAUGGGGGAUUUGGAUGAGCUACAGAAAAAAUAGAAGCAAGCAUGGGAGGAGGAAGAAAUAAUAAAGAAAAAUAUGCAGUUCACUAGCGAUUGAACGGACGCCACGCCGCCGCACCGUAAGACACGCGUACGCACACUUCUGCUUAGUUUCCCAAAUAUACGAAAGGAAGGACAGAUCAAGAGCUAGUACAUAUAAAGACCAAAUUGAAAUAUCAUAGGUUGCAGCAGGGUUUGGAUCUAGAUAGAACUCGAAGAUUUCUAGCAGUAGACACGAACCUGAGAUCUUGUUUCGAUGUCCUCGGGCAUCAAACAAUACAUAAACACAGUGCUUCCUAAAUAAAUGGACGAGAUUUCUACACAGAGCUAUUCCAUGGUGGGUGAUGGGAGGAGGAAGAACGUCUCGCAGUCGCAGCAAUGGUGGAAUAAUGGUUCCGCCCAAAACGCGUUCUGGACAGGUAGCUAGAAGGGAGUGGCAUUUACGUUCUUGGGCUCAGAACAGUGUUUUAUCUGUUCCCCAUUAAUGCGUGUAUCUGACUAGGUUGGUGAGGUAUUGUACAGAACAACACCAAAAUAAAUGUUUUAGAAUAAUUUAGACUCUAAUCCAGGCGGGCAUCUCAGUGCCACAGUGAACGGCUGGAGCAUGCACUGGAGCUCCCGUGCAUGGGAGAAAAUCCACUCUCAGCUCUUGGGCUACCGCUACCCACGAGGAAACGUCCAGAGCUACAACUGUCGUUUUGUUUUGGCGAGCACUCAAUUCCUAGGGCAGUUCUGCAUGUGGCUCUCGUUGGAAAAGGAACGAAAAUGGUAGUACCAGUAACUGUUUGCCUCUAAUGUAGCAUCUGCGGGAAGUGAAAUGAGCCUACGGCGGCAGCACGAGCCACCGAGGUCCUCUCAGCAUCUCCGGGGUGCAGUGCAGAUCGAGAUGGGUGUUUAUGACAACGGGGCCGGCUAGCCAUGGCGAACUUGUCGACGGACACACUGGAGGGCACGGAGACGGAGGUGGUCAAGCUGGACCAUGUCUUGUGCGGUGGUGCCGGCCGGUGUUCGACGCCAGCACCCUGAGGGAUUGGUUGAGUUCGUCAUGGCUUCUUUUGUCAUGUUUUGUAGCAGUAUUUACUUUCUAGUUGCUCAUAUAUACUCCUAGAUGAGUAGAGAAUGCUACCCUCUCUGUAAACUAAUAUAAAAGCAUAUAGAUCACUAUUUUAAUAUUUUAAAUGCUUUUAUAUUAGUUUACGAAGGAAGUAUAAACGUUGGCACUACACUCUCACGGUACAACUAAAUGGCCACAUCAGUUGGCAUGUGAUGCUUGGUGAACAAUUGAUGUCCUAGCCACACAAAACAUUUCACUCGCUGCUCUUAUAUAUCUACCAGCUUCACCAUGUAGCAGUAUCACGUUUAGUUGCAACGGGAGAAUGCCGAAGUAUAGGGAGAGAGCAAUCGUUAUGGGCAAGCAAGGGGAAUGGCACCCGCGGUCACACAGCAUGAUCUAGCAGGGAAUGGGAUGUGUUGGCAAUUUCUUUCGAAGACAUGUAAAAACAGAGAAUCCAUGAAAGAGCACCGGAACUUGCAAGUGAAGAAAACCUUGCGGCUCAAUGUUGAUAAUUCCGUGCAUUUCAUCCUAGAGAGUUGAGCGGCUCUACGUUUCAUCAUCAGGCGACAUUAGUUGGUCGAGCUAAGCAUGAGCCCAGUCUUUCGAGUGUUAGGUUGAUCCCCUCCCGUUCGAACCCAACGGGUCGAACGGACCCCUGACUCGCGUCCUCAUUUGGGGGCGCCCAACCCUCAUAUGGUUGGUGGACCCCUGUGACCCGCGCUAUAUUAACAGAGGUGGGGGCCGGGGCACGGGAUAUGAAGUUCACCACCGCCACAAACCCUACCGAUAUUCCCUACCGAUCUAGGGUUAGUGCGGUGCUCACGGGAAGCAGCCACCACCUCGACGUCUCCCUGUCAUCGCCGUCGUCACCAUCCCACCAGGGCCAACGGCGGGAGCUCCUCAGGCCAAGGCGAAGGUAGGACUACAGGAAAGGACGUGGAGUUUCUACACCCAGGAGCAAAUGCUCCUGGUGUGAACAGUAAAAUCAAACAAAUUCAAAAACAAUUCAAAAAAUUCUGAAAUUUUUUUGUGCCAUACUUUCACAAAUGUUUGUUGUGCCUACAAAAUUUCAUCGCAAAAUCACAUUGAUGGAAGGCGUGGUAAAAAAAACAAAAUCGAUGCUCUGAAAAUGUUACUUACAAAAGCAUUUUGGAGCUCUGAUUUUGUUUUUUUUUUGACACGCCUUCUACCAAUGUGAUUUCGCAAUGAAAUUUUACGUGCACAUCAAACAUUUGUGAAAGUAUGUCACAAAAAAAAUUCAGAUUUUUUUGAACUUUUUUCUAGUUUUUUUAAUUUUACUAUUUAUACCAGGAGCAUUUGCUCCUGGGUGUAGAAAGGUACUUCCGUACGGGAAUUCACUAGCCUACUCUGAUCCAGGGGAUCUAACAAUGGUAUCAGACCAUGCUAGGCUAAGUUUUUCGAUACAAAGAAUAUACAGAGAAAGAAAGAUCNNNNNNNNNNNNNNNNNNNNNNNNNNNNNNNNNNNNNNNNNNNNNNNNNNNNNNNNNNNNNNNNNNNNNNNNNNNNNNNNNNNNNNNNNNNNNNNNNNNNNNNNNNNNNNNNNNNNNNNNNNNNNNNNNNNNNNNNNNNNNNNNNNNNNNNNNNNNNNNNNNNNNNNNNNNNNNNNNNNNNNNNNNNNNNNNNNNNNNNNNNNNNNNNNNNNNNNNNNNNNNNNNNNNNNNNNNNNNNNNNNNNNNNNNNNNNNNNNNNNNNNNNNNNNNNNNNNNNNNNNNNNNNNNNNNNNNNNNNNNNNNNNNNNNNNAGAGGAAAAGAAGGGCAAAGAAAAGUGCGCCGCCGCCGAGCUGCGCCGUUCCUCUCGAUCUCAAUGCGCAUCGGCAAGCCGAGUCAUCGAGAAGAAGAACAUCACCCCUUUUGGGGGCAGAGACCACGCGGUCGCCGACGCAGGGCGAGGAAUACCGCGAGUGGGUCGGCGAGGCCGUCCAUGGCCUUCUGUUGAGGAGCCCGACCUUGUCGGGCGGCAGGUCAGACGUGGCCUCGGUGCCCUCCGGCAGCCCCUCCACGGCCGGCAGCGGCAGCAGCACGAACCGGAGGCGGGAGGAUAGACCGGCCGGCAUGGGCGGGAGCCUGGCGAGAUUACGGGGCAUGGACACUACUGGAAAAAUCAUCAUUACCGAGUACAUUUCCUGAUUUCCGUUUGCCGAGUACUGGAACACUGGAUCACGGUAAAAACAACGUAAGCCGAGUGCGGUUCUCGACAAACGACAGGACACGGCACAUGGGAAGUACUGCCGAGCCCUGUGUUGGACGUACUUGGCAAACAAAAAGGAACUCGACUUAUGCAUAGUAUGCCGAGAACCUAGUGGAAAGCACCCCGCAAAUAUGAGCCAUGUGGCACGGCCAUUUGCAGCUGACGGCCCGGCGACCAUGUGCAAUGUUGGCCGAGACCCCGAUGAUAGGUACUCCGCAAUCUAUGAGGUAUUUAAACUACCCAAACCCUAGCCGCUGCUCACAUUGUAUUGACGAUUGGGGCAGGUCGCCGUUGUCCCUGUGUGGUUCCUCGCCGCCGCAGGGUCUAUACCCACCGGCCGUCGCCGAUCCAGCGUCGUCCGAGGCUGCUCGGACCCUUCACCGCACGCUCCGUCCCCCAAGCUCGUCGGCGGCCACAACACCGCCCUUACAACCUCGUCGUCGGACACCUUUUGUUGCCGGCCACCUCUACCACCUCGACGCACCAACCCCAAGGUGAGCUAGCUAGGGCCUCCCCUUUCGAAGGCACGUGCGGAGAUGCAUCCGGUUUGUGAAGGGGAUGUGGGGCCCGUUCCUCCAUUGGCCUUGAAACUUGUCGCGCUCGUGAGGUUCUAUUCAAAGGAACAUGCCAUGUCGUGGACUUUUUCGGGGGCCACCAGUCAUAUUCCAUGCAUUUCCAAGGGUUUAUGCAGGAAAUUCACUCUAGAGGGGAUAUUAACAUGAAUGCCUAGCAACCAAGCAAGAACAUCGUUCUAGUUCUCGUCUAAUCUAUAGAGCGACUCACAACAUAAUUGUUGCAGAGCGAAGCCAUGAAAAUUGGAACUAGCAAAUCAUCGAGAAUCGAAUCAAAUGGUCUUUCCGCACUUAAGAUGAUCACCGUUUGACCAUCAAUAAUCAAUUAAAAAUUCAAUGAUCUUUUGUACUCAAUUUUUUUGGUAAGUUACACAGAGGGUCUGGUGUCACGAUGUGUCUUUCGUUUGUCAUACUGAGCUGGAAAUCAAUCAACACGUCCACGUCGUUGGUUGAGUUCAUAGUGGCUUCUUUGUCAUGGCUUGAAGCAGUAUUCGCUUUAGGCUUGAUCAUAUAUAGAUGUGUGAUGAGCGCAACAAAUGCUGACAACUAUACCAUUUAUGGUAGAAUUGAAUGGCCACAAUGAUUGAUGGCAUGUGGUGUCUGGUGAAAAAAUGAUGUCCUGGCACACACAACGUUUCACUCCCUGUUCUUCUAUAUACACUAGAUGACCAGUUGCGCCAAUGGCGCAAAGGCCGAGAGCAAGCCAUGUAUUGUAAGAGUAUACAUUAAUAUUAUUCGGGCGUGAACAAACUGCAGAAUUAUAUAUAUGUAUACAAUCAGAACAACCAUAUCUGUAGCAAUAAAAUGGCAACACCAUAUCUGUAGCAAUAUAUGUAUGUAGUCUUAUAGGACCUUGUUCAACCAACCGGACUGAUGACAACCAACUAUGAGCUGGGACAACCGGUGUAAUAUAUGUAUGUAGUCUUAUAGGACCUUGUUGUAAAAGGCUCUCAAGUAUUUAAGAGCUUCAUGUGCCAAUCGAGCCUUCUUAGAGUUUUCCAUAGACAGAUGGGACAUUGAUUUCUUUGAAAGUACCUUGAAACAAAAGCAGAACAAAAGUACAGACAAUUCCAAGUCAAAUGUAAACAUACCAUAUGAACCGGAGAAAAUAGAUACCAAUGGAUUAAAUAAGCAAUGGAUGCAAAAAUAUGUGCUCUAGGGCUGAACUUAUUUAGAAAGCUAAUAACCGAACUAUAUGUGUGAGCUAGUAAUCUCUCCCAUAUAAUUUCAGAUAUACUGAAAAGGAAAUAUUCUACCUCAUAUCUUCUAUAAACCUCUAAAACAUAGGAAAGAGACACAAGAAUAUAUGACUUACCGAAGGAAUUUGGCGAACUUGCUUACGCUUUCAAUCUUUCAACAACUUUGAAGACCACAUACAUACACAUGGAUAAAAUCAUCACAUAUACAAUCAGAACAAAACCAUAUCUGUAGCAAUAAAAUGGCAACUAACAUGAGGUUGUGCUACCUGUAAAUAAAGCUAAGUAUUAAAGUUCCAACCAUUAGCUAGUUGCAUAAUCUAUAAGAGGCUGGAGUACAUAUGACGAUUCAAAGAAAUAGGGUAACUCUGUAAUAACAACAUGCCAGCAAAAGCUGAACCCAAGAACAAUCCCUAAAAAUCAAAAAAUAUUGUGCAUCUCUACUUUUCUUUGAUUCUUUUACAUCUCCUUUCAGAUUUUACUAUGAUUGAGGUGUGUUAAUUUGAUCAGUCAUACAGAACCAAAGAAAUGUAGGUGCCCUUAAUACUCAAAUAAGGAUAAAUUGGAGAGGUAAGAAUGAGCUCCUGGUAUUCAUUUUAGGUAUUAAGAAAUAAGCUAUUGAGAAUAUGUAAUGAAUAUAAAGAUGGUGAGGACUUCAAUAAACAUAAUGAACCUCAGAACCGGAAGGGCCAUUUUCAUUGGCAUGCCGAAAGAAAUGUUGUGAGCAAUUCUAACAUGCUAAAUCAGACUGACAUGUAUCGCCUACUUGCUAAUGACAUCUACUUUUGAGCUCUGAUGUAAGCAUGGUAAAACAGCUCAUAGUACAUAGAGUCUUGGAAGUGGGCUACAGGAGCAGUGCACAAGGAUGAUUGAAAUACCUAGGUAUUUAGUCACAGGAGCUUGUCCCUUGCCUUUCAUUGCGGAUAUAGGAUUGUUCAUCUAUUAAUCAUGUAAUAGUCAGACAAUGCAAAGGAGAGAAUGCAGGGAGAAAUAGUAACAAUCAUACAACGCAAAGCGUGUACAGGGCAACAAGAAUGCCUCUCAUCAGGACGCAUUAGGCAAAGGUAACUAAAUGGAAUACACAGAUGCCAAAAGCCAUGACUACAACAAUGUUAGAUUAGGCGGUGGCUGCAGCUGGUCAUUAGUAAUCAUUAUACAUGAGUACCUUAAAUCGAUUGAAAUAGAAGGAAAUGUAAGGUUAUUUACAUUGAUAUAUAUUGUUCAAAUGGACGAUCCACAAGGAAAGACAAAAAAAUUGUGAAGCAUGUCAUAAGUGGCACAAAAGCAUUGUAAACUUUGCUCGAGGAAAUUGUAUAUCUGAAGAAGUCCAUUACCCGAGUAUAACAUAAAUGAAGUUGGUGUUCAGUUUAAAUUUCUACCAAGCAAAUGUAAGGUGUUGAUGAAGCUGAAACAAAAUUAGGGGCAACAGCGAUUAAUUAACCGAUUAAUUAAUCCAUCCUGUAGUUUUCAGUUUUCACCAACUUGUCCAUCUAUCCAUAAGACUACAUGGAACUGAACCGAAGGUAAGGAUCUGAACCAAGAAUAGCAACGUAGACAAAAGCAAGAUUAAACAUCAUUCUUCAGUCCUCAAGGGUACAUGCAUUCUCCUUCCUGACUUCGGCUUCCUGCUCUGGUGUGUAGUGUUCUCUAAGAUCAGCUACUUCUUACACUCCCCCACUAAGUGAAUAGUAACAAUUUUAAGACGAUAAACCACACAGAUAAUUGGUUCCUAAUUAGAGCAGCUAAAGAAGCAAGUAGCUAACAUUAGUACAUAGAGUCUUGGAAGUGGGCUACAAUAUCAUGGCAAAAUCCAGGAGUACAUCAUUGCUUGUGGUUAGCAUAGUUCUCUCAAAAUUUUCAUGGCUGGUUUGCUACUACUUCCAAUUUUGUCUAUAUUGUAUUAAAUAAGACCCAUCAAAGCAUACCACAAAUGGUUUUCUGUGCAAAAUAAAUAGACCAAAAAAUGAAUGAAACAAAAUAAAUACACAGCCCCUUACGCAUAUAUGCAGAUGAAAGCUUCCAACAAUGAAAUAAUUCCUAGUUUAACCGAAAGGCAUUAGCAUAGGUGAGAACAAAUAUUUUCAGUGAGCUCUAACAAGAACAAAUGGCAGGACCAAGAACAACCUCCAACCGAGGAGAUGACAAGCCAGCAGAGCAAUAGACGAAGACCAAAGACCAGGUGAGAGGACAAAAGCAACCUGCGGCAGCAAAACAAAUGCCUUAGGAGGGUGAAAUAUGAACGAAAAGAGUGUAUAAUCAGCAAACUACAUAGACAAUAGGCUAAUUAUGCUUGCAAUCAGUAUAAAUAUAAUUAGCAACUACUCCCUCCGUCCGGAAAUACUUGUCGAAGGAAUGGAUGUAUCUAGACAUAUCUUAGUUUUAGAUACAUCCAUUUUUAUUCAUUUUUCCGACAAGUAUUUUAGGACGGAGGGAGUACUAUAUAUCCAUUACUUGAAUGGAAUCAUGAGCCAUUUUCAUGCAUCGUAAAUACGACGGCUGCCCCUCUUGACUCUUUUGUGCCUCAUCUCAUGACUAAUUCUACUAAUCAGUGACUUGGUUCAGUUGCUGUCUAAAUCAAGACAAUUGCAUGAAAGCACAACACAGUACAUCCUAAUGUAAGAUAUUUUAAGUUUUUAACUAAUACCAGCAAGCACCCUGUCAAUUUAUGAUUAUCUAAGAAAAACAACACGCCUGAAACACGGUAGGCACAUCAACUAAACUGAGGCACACAUAUCUGUCGGCACGGUGGCACAGUCACAUUUAAAGAAUUAAUAAUUAUGAAAAGCCUGUAAUGCAUGUCACAACUAUAAAUACUCUGUUCUCACCUAAAACUAUCAGAACAGAGACAAAUAAGAACAGAGUUGCCAAUAUAAAUGCAGGUCAAUGCAGAACACAACAGGUGAAUAUUUCCAACGACAAGCAAACAUAUCCGUCUAGCCCGACACAGCAUAUUCAACAUAUCAUACAACCACUUACGCAAAUAGUUACAUCAGUCUUUCAUAAAGUGGACUGGAAAUCAGGGAAAUAGACAUGGAAUAUUUCUCUAUAGCUACACGGUUUUGAAAUAUUUUUCUUCUUGAAGCUAACCAAGCCCGCUGUCCUUUUUUUAGCUGAAGAUAAAUCCGUCGGUUUGAAGUAGAAAAGCAAUGACUAAACCUAAAGAUCCAAGCGAAGGACCAUCUACUUUUUAUAACUAAUCAAUCCACCCAAACUAAAUUACUUUCUUACCUGUUUCAAUGGAACACAGUAAACAUUUUCCAUUGCACUCUUGCUCCAAGCUUACAAACCCUACAUAUUUUAGGUGCUGCAUCCCUCUGAUAUUGUUGCAUAGGUACUUAAACAGCAGCCUAGUAAGAAUACUGAUUGGCUAUAUUCAGGCUAAACUCUAAAGCAUUAAUCUAAGCCUCCACUUUGUGUGCACCUUCUCAUUAUAUUUAUGCUCAUUUAAUGGCAGUGCAACAUCCCAUUUUGAAUGCUAGCUAAGAAUACCCAACUAAUCAGACCUAUGAGAUUGUAAUAAAGAACAAUGAUGGUAGGUGAUCUGAUAUUAUAUUCGACUAAUAAUAAAAUAAGUAAGGAGAGCAGGGUAUGGAAAGACAGAUAGCCUAGAAAAGAAGCAUGCAGAGGAAAAUGCCAAAGAGAUACUAUCAUAAGCAAGGGCAUUUGAUGAAUUCAUUAAUUAGUCAAGCCAGUACGAAUAUACAUGACUGAAAAGAAUAUGUAUUUUGUAGUUUGAACAAAUGGAGUAACCAAGACAACAAUAACCGGGCGUACGGUCUAAAUUAAAUGAGCCAAUUUGAGGAAUUGUUAUCCUCCAAACAAUAUUCAGAUGAUUCUAUUUGCUAUGAUGAUAAUUCUGUACCUGCACAUUACUCGGCAUACCAAGUUCUCCAUUCGGGUUCUUCUCCGCAAGACACAUGAAUAUAUGAGCAACUAAUUUUCUUGGUCCUAUUUCUUCUUUCUCAUAUCUGCAAAUAUCAUGUUUAGGAAACCCACAUAUCUGCAAACGGGUCUUUGCCAAAUGUACAUGGUUUUAAACACGUACAUGCAAAAAGAGAUGGAAGCAGAGCACAUUGCACAAGCUUCCAGAGUUGCAGAAAGAGAGAGGGAGGGGAAGAAGGAUUGGGCGAAGCUCACCUUGAGUGUUGAAAUGUAUCAGCUUAAAAACCUUGAGCUGAGGAGCGAGAUAGGUGAAAAAACCAAUCCCGCCAGACAACCAUAUAUAUAACUCAGAUAUUAGAGUUCCCUGAUACAUCGGAUAUACAAAGCGCACUAAUCACUCAAAUUUUGGAAUUAUGAACCUCAGAGCAUGUGGUCAAUAUUGUUAGUUAUGGACAAAAGCGCAGUAGUGCAUCAAAGAAGUUACAGGUCCAGAAAUUACCAUUCAGAAAUGAGAAUUACAUAUUUAGGAGAGAACAUCUCAUCCCCAAAUGAACAACCAAUUUCAAUUAAACGGAUUGUGCAAAAGUAGGCAUAUUAGUAGAUCGGAAGUUUCAAGGAAUAAACAGUAGUACAAUAAUCUUGAUACUGAUUUAGCUAUGUAAAGCAGGAACAUAAAUUGCAUACCAAACAAGUUACUAAAGAAAAUGCACAACAAUAGAUGACCCGUUGUGCCCUGGCGCAAAAAGCGAGAGUGAACCAAAGCAUUCAAACUAUGCAAGUAAGAGUGGUUUAGAAAUUGAUUUGCGCCCCUGAUGCAAGUAGCCAAAGCAAACCAAGCAUUGGAACCAUUAUAAAAGUUGGUAUUUAUAUGGCAUCUUUAUACAUAAUCAGGCAUAUGUGGUUUAUUUCAAAUUUCAAUAGUAUGGAAAGAGAUACAUAGAUGGCAUAUUUGUCCAUCCUGAUAACAUCAUGGUUCAGGCAUACCUUGCAAGGAGAUACUUAGAUGGCCUCUUUAUACAUAAUUGGCCCAGGAAGAUGAAGGUAGACUAACGGGUCUUGGUUCUACAUUUGUGGAUGCUACUCUAUUGCAUCAUAUCAUACUUUCUGUCUUCAGCUAAAGCUCACUAAAAUCAUCCAUGUCUCUAAUUGAUAAAAUAAUCUGGCGUUUUUACCUCUCUGUUCUCUAAAGGAUACCUCUCUCAAUAAAAUACAUGAAAAAAGUGCAUAUAAGAAACAAUAUGUAACUACGGAAUCAAUUAGACGAGAAUGGCUUGAUAAGAAUGCACUACACCAAACAUAGCACACCAACUACAAUAAGCAAAAAUUGACCAUGCGACUCUCUGUAUUUGAUUUCAGUUAAUUAACUAUAAACUCCGCACCUAGCAAUGGAGAGCUUAUAAGUCGAAAGAAUUAAGCCUACUGGCCAUAAAGGUACAAGCAAAGACUGAAACAACUAAUUGAAACUCUUUCCUGUAGGCAUAGCACAACACACAUUUCUUAUUUCUUCAUUACUUCAUAACUGAAACCGAAGAAGAAAACAAGUUGGCAUUUUUUUUACCUACGACACUCACUCUCAACGAAUGAAGGGGGAAAACGUGUACAUAAGUAACAUAACAGGGAGGAGAAAAGAUUCACCAGUGUAGACUAUGAAGGAGAAGCUGCGAAAAACCCAGUCAAUCUGUUCCAUCCGAACAACGGUGGACACAAAUCCCACCUGCAACACAGACAUAAGAACCACAAAGCUUAGAAAUCUAGCAGUAAGAAUAAGAAUAACAAGACAAUCUGUAAGGAUAUCACAACCUCAGCAUGCACCCACAAACAUAAAUCAUCCAUCAUGUCGUCCCUCCUAAAGAAAUAUGAAGCACAGAAGAAGGGGAUAUGUCAGACCAAGAAAUAAAUCAUAUUCAUGAGUCAUGGUGUAAUUAGCAAUUGAAGUGGUCCAGAUAGUCAUGGAACAAUGAGUGAUAGCUCAUCUAUUAAUCAAAAAUGACAGGCAAAGAGCAAAAUAUACAACAAACAAGUCCAUGUUUUUUCUAUGGAAUAUUGUAGCUAAGAAAUAAGCGGAAUUAAAUCGCCACUGAUAGUCCGGUGUAUCUUCAAAGUGCAAUGAGACGCAAUAUUGGAAAUAAAAUGCAAAUUUAGUAGCAAAAAAAAUUCAGCAUUGAUGUGAAUUGUAGAAUUCUAAACAAGAUGCUAGCCUGGGAACAUCUUCGACUACAACAACGAAUUAUAGUCAGCUAAACAGAACACACACCCAUUUUCAGAAGUAAAAAGACAGAACCAUCUAAAAUAGAGAAACUUGGCAGCACACAUUAGUAAGAUUGUAAAAUGUUGAAAAACUUGGAUGUUGCUGUUGCAAAAUAAGUGUCACACAUUAGUUCUAAUGAUGUAUCACCUACUAUGGCUAUAAGAACUACUUUUAGCAUAGGCUGCAGCUUUGGAGAUGCAAAUUGUUAGAAAUACUAAUUAUAUCUAUAUAGAAGCAUUGAAGUUCGGCUGCAGCAUCGUAGACGAAUUAGUUCGGACCUCAAAGUCUCAAAAAGCAUAAUGCUUAUAAAACUGUAAUCGCUAGAAAGAAAAUAAUCACCUCUAGUAUUUAGUAACACAUAUAAGAGAUAAAGUUCAGUCGGUUUUGUCAUUUUAACGGAACAACUGGUGAGCAUGCCCCGAGCUAUCAUAUACCUGAAAAUGAAGCAACCAAUGGACCUGCAGAAACCAACACAUCUGAGAAGAAGUAGCAGUCCAUUGCAUGGAAGAAGUGAACUAACAUCAUAUGUAAUUGCAGAUCUGAAAGAUGCAAAGUAGCCGAAAAAAUGGAUGUACAGAAGCUGAACCUGCUCCUGGGAUAGCCAUGAUGGCUACACUCACAGCAACCUGAACCUGGUGAGUGUGUGUGCUUUUAUCAACCUACAAAGUAAAACUGAAGAACCUCAGAACAAGAGAGAAACACAAAUCUUCAUAAGAAAAGCAACCUGAACCUGGUGGGUGGCUGUGCUUUUAUCAACCUGCAAAGAAAUCAUACCACAAAAAGUAUCCCUUGUGACUACAAGAAGGAUGAUGUAGCCACAACAUCCCUUCAGAUUGUCUAUCUCUCUCAAAUUCCUCUCUCUUUUCUCAAAAAUUAGAUGCGGUCAAAAAUGCAAAGAGACAAAACAAAGCUCUUCAUGUUGCCUAUUUCUCUCAAAUCCCUCUCUUUUCCCCAAAAUUAGAAGCGGUCGAGAAGUAAAGAAAUUAACUUUUGUGCGGUAUUUAUAUAUACCCAUGGAAAAAAUUGUGGAAGAAAAUUAGAGGAACUUACAUGAUUUUUUCUUCUGCAUCUUUCAUGGCUGAAGCACCAUGGACAACCGAUUCGCCAGCACUACCGCCUGUUGUGGCUGCUCGCGUUCGCCAUUAUUGUGCCUGCUCCGACUGGUUCUCCCCUCAUCCCCGUUGGCUCGACCACCCAAAUAUAGGACGAGAUGAGGAGAGGUGGCGUAUCUAUCAUCCUGUGCCGGCGCCGGCGCUUGUGGCCGCCUCUAUCUCUCACGCUCCAGAUCGAAAUCUAGGAGGAAAAGAGGAGAGGUGGUGGCCCAGAUGCGUUGCGCCGAAAUCCAUGGGCCGAGGAGAUGCGACGGCCAGCAAGAGAGCGCGUCGGAGAAGGUGGAGAUGAGCGGCGGGGGAGGCCAUGGCGGCGGCGGCGGCGAGCGAGAGGGCGGAGAGGAGGAGGCGACAGGAAAGAGAAUCGGUGGCGUGGGAAAGAGAGGAGGGAGCGAAUGAGGACUGGAUGCUGCGUUGCUUUUCCUUUUACCGCUGCUCGCCUAGGGUUGUAUACUUCCCGUACCCGGAACAGGAUGAAACCCACUUUGUUUCUUUGACCCCACACAUAGCCAGCCCCACUCAUCAGCCACUCCUGAAGCAAUUAUUGACGUGAAAAUAAACCAACGGUUGACCUGGUGCCAGCAGCCAAAACAGAGAAACAGUAAAAAGAUCGUUCGGUCCCUGAGGCUUACCGCGCGCGGAUGCGGUAGAAGGGCGGGUAGUCUAGCGCUCUUUAUAUGUUAGAUAUCUAGCUUCCCCAUGUAGCAAGAUCGCGUCUAGUUGCUAGGGCAGAAUGCCAGAGUGUAGGAGAGCGAUACUGAUAGGCACUUUGGAUGCGCCAAUGGUCACAUAGCGUGUUCUGGCAGGGAAUGGGAUGCAUCAGAAAUUUAGAGUUGGAACUAGCAGAUGCCGAUCACAUGGCGGCUCUACGUUGCCAGUUGAGUUCGGCACAGAUUACUCCCCACUGUUGAGCCGUUGAUUUCAUCACUCAGGUAUCUAGCUGCUCAAGCUAAGCAUGGUCAGGUUUCCAACACGUGAAGUGCGAGAAAGUCUGCGCAUUCUCUCCAUGUCACUCGGUUAAAUGGAAUCAUGACUUUAGAGAGACAAGACAGGAUUAUUUGCAUCUAUUGAUCCUCACCUAUCAGCUUACAAGACACUCUGAACACUAUGGUACAAGCACCUAGUGUAGUGAGCGCAACUAGGCAGCAGGAGAGUAAAGCUCACAGUUUGUUUGCUUGGAUAAAAAAGGUUUUCUCCCUACCGAAACUCAAACCAUAAGAUUAAGGCCACAAAAGGCACUGGAUGCAAUGCAACAGCUUAGUUCGACCAUACUAGAUAUAUCUUAACCAAGAAUGACAAAAGAUCCAACUGUCUGAAAUUAACAGGUAGCCACUGACCAAUCAAAUGGAAAUGGAAAACAGAAAUGCUCUGGUACUCGAGCAAGCGAAUCGCCUUACCUGACAAACAUAGCAGGCUGCAUCAACACUGCCACCAAAAUGAACAAGUAAUUUUACUCCCACACAAACAUAUGCAAAUAUAUUCCACCAACAAUAUUAGUCGGUCCUCGCUAUCAACCACAUCUAAAACCAUGUCAACGAAUGGAAACAACACCACCUUAAAGUAUCCACACGAGAAGGCUCCUUUAUAUUUGUAUUAACAGAAGAGCAAAAAGAUAUAGCUGUAUGAUUUCAGCGAUCCAAAUCCGCACUACCCUGCCCAAUCGGCACACAUCCUGUCUCCUUCCACUCACUACCCUGGCUACAACUCUCUGGCUGCUGGUUUUCUUCAUCAGAACGCAGAGCUCAGGGCACCACGUGCUGCCUGUUGUUUCAACUCCUGGGAUUUUCCACUUCCACGGAAGUACAUGUACACUUGCUGCAUGUUGAGUCAGACAGGUCGAUGAUCAAGAGACAGGAAUAACAUGAGCUGCAAUGUAAGAUCUUCAAAAAAAAUAGAGGUAAACCACACCCACCUGAAUGACACCUAUGCUCAGCAGUGAUUCAAGGCAGAACAAUCCAAAUCCAACAAAGUAAAAUAUCUGCCAAAUGAAAAUUCCACAAAAAUAUAUGUCAGUAAGGGGUUAAAUAAGACUGGCAGACCCAGUAACCACUUCCAGAUGCAAUCUACCAAGUAAACCCCUGAUACUCAUGCGUGUGAGGUAUAGUGCACUAUGUCUGUUUCAAAAUGCAAGGAUUUUCUUGUCUAGCCAGUGGACUCUGCCGGCACUGAGGCAGCAUCAAGCAGCACAAUCUUUGGGGAAAACAUAGAACAUGGGCUGCGUAAGAGGAAGAUAUGGGCAUAUUGCUACAUAAACAAAUUAAGCAGCACAAUCAUUGGUUUAAAAUAUAGAGCAUGGGCUGGGUAAGACGUAGAUAUAGGCAAAUGGCUACAUAAACAAAUUAGUCCAGGCUAAUUGGAUAAACCUGUAAUGAAGACUUACCCCAACAAUAAGGCUCUUGGUUAUGACAUCAAUGGCAGGCAAAAUCCCACUACAGCAUCAAAAAGCAAAGUAAUUUAGUUAAUAAGAUCAAAAUAAAAGUUUUAAUGCGUUCUCAACAAAGAGUAAAUGUUAUGGUAGAAAGGUCUAAAUCUGAAUAUGAUAACAUGGAGGGUAAGAAUUUAUUCCAAGCAAAACUUACAAGUGACAUGAAUGACAAGAAACACAACAAUUUCAGUCUGCAUUAGCAAUUUACCAUGUACCUGGUAUAAAAUUUUACUCCUGUGUGUUAAGUUCCAGGAUAAAAAAUUAUGCUUCUUCCAUGAUCCUUUGCAGAGGUCAACAUUGACCACAACUCAGGCAAAAAGGCAAACAAUCGGUUCAGGAACAUGUUACUUGACAACUAGUAUAUAACAGCCGCUCAUGUAUAUAAUUUUUGGAUUUGCUCCCGUAUUUCUCACAUGCCACUUAUGUAUAGCCUUUAUAGCUGCAUGGAUGUGUUGACGCCAGUGUAAACUCCCCUGCUUGUAGUUAACCACGUUUGGUGUGUGCCUGUUUCUUUCCAUAUUUGAGUUCCACAUUAAAUCUAUAUAUCUAGUUCAUUGAUUAUCUUUGUUAAUUGUGUAUUCUAACUUCUAACAACAUCUUCAGACAAACCAUUCAAUGAAACAACUUACUUUUUGUGAAAAGGUCACAUAAUCUUUUACGGACAAAACAGAAACUAUGACCAUGGAAAUGCAUAACCCCUCACAUCUAUACCCGUUUACUGACUUACAGCCCGCACGGCAAACCAUGGUGCACAAGAAAAGAAUAUGAGACUUACGUCAAAGAAUUUCCUUUGAAAGGGAAUGGGGGAGACACAGCUGACCACACGCAGAAGAUUAUGUGAAUCUGGAAAUGGACAAAGAUGAUCAGUAGGGUGUGCAGUUGAGGAUAGGUUGAACCUUUCAUUUAAUGCUAAGAUGUGGCCGCAUGAAACCACUAGUAAAGUGUAUCUUACCAUGUAAAAUAGGAAAAACCACCCAAACUUCAAAGCACUCUCAGUUCUGCGACAGGCAUUAUAAUAAACAAGAUAUGGUCACAUGACAUAUUUGGAAAGGUGAAUUUCUUUCAUAUAGACAAUAAAUUCUCAAUGCAUAUACCCUACCUCAUCGCAUUAUAAAGAGGGCGAUACCAUAACACAUAAGCCCCAGGGACACCAGAAAUGAAGUAGAUAAUGGCAAGCAACCAAACCAUGACACCUGUUAAAGCAGAGAUUUGUAUUAGUUUCGCGAAGUUAAUAUAGUGAUAGCAACUGCUAUAUCAGAUGUGCACAAUAAGAUACACUUUAGCUAUACCUUCUCCCUUAAUCCAUGCAGUUGUGGUCGCUAUGAUAUUAAAGAAGAGGCAGAGAGCAAUUCCUGCAUGAGAUCCAAAUUUUACAAAAAUUACACAAAAUCCAUAAAAAAGCUAUAUAUCAAAUUGCUUCUCCACCAGAUUAGCUCUUGGUCCACUAAUCAAAUGAAGAUGGUAGAUCCCUUUGCAGGUAUUUGAGGAAUUCAAACUUAUUUGCUUCUCAUGUUCAUAAUCACAUCAUUCGUGCAAAAUAUGACAGGAAGUUGCAACAUAAAUACUUGUUAGUGAAUUUGUAUUAGGAUCUAAUAAAUGUCCAAAAUGAUAGUCGGCAUUGUUAGGAUAAUCCUUGUGUCCUGUAACCCCUCUCUCUUUGGUUACUUAAUAAUUAAGAAAGAUUAGAAGCUGUAAUAGCUAGCUGUAGACUCCAGGAUAAGCUAGCUAUGAGCUGUAUGAGCAGGUCGGCAGGGACUGGCUUCAUGAAGAAGGUGAUGGAAAUGGUUUUGUCUGCCUGUGUACUGUAGCGCCACCUUACUGUACUGCCGUCUUACUGUAGUGCCAGGAACACUAGCACCAGCCUAGAACUCCUAUAAAUAGGAGGGUACAUCUUGUGUAACACAAGCUUGUAGUGUAUCAACAAAGAAAAUGGCUUUUGCUGUGUGAGGCAGCAAGUCACCUAAACAGCUUGUGUACUUGUGCAAGUUGUGAGAAAUAACAGAUAGCGAUAGAGUGUGAGUGAGAGUGAGAGAGAGGAGGGUUUCAGUGCUGGUGAUGUGUGUGUGUGUGUGUGUGAUGUCAACAAAGCCUCAGUGCUAGUAGUAGUUCUGCGUGUGUGCUUGAAGCAUAUCUCAGGAAGAGGGGGAGUUGAGUGAUUCAAUUCCAACAGGCAUGCAGGCGCCACCAGGCUCCAGUGGCCACCUGUGCAGGUCCGGUCAGGCCGCGCAGAGAGACUGACACGUGUUACAAUUAUGUUGCCCGUUGCAGGGAAAUUGGAAAAUGUUAUCUGCAUCACUAGUGUUUCAGAUAAGCCGGAUUAGAUCUGGAAGAAGAGGAGGAUCAGUAUUACUGGCAGAUCGCCGCUGAAUAUGACCACUGGCUACUCACUGCUCAUGUGAUCUGGCUGUGGUCAUGCAAGAAGGAAAGGAGUGAGAGAAAGGAGUAGUAACUUGUUGUGGCUUUGGAGCGACGGGAAUCAAGAGGCAUUGUGUGUCUCUGUUUUUGUCAUGUUGCUGUUGGACUCCAGUUCAGGUUGCUGGGCUGAUCUUUACAAGUUACAAUGGCUCUUCUGACACUACUGUGGCUGAUCUGAUCUAUGGUGUGGACUUGUGGUGCUGUUAACUAUGCUGGUACUUUUAGUUGGUCGUUAGCCAUGCUUGUCCAGCUACUUGGCUUUGUUGAUCUGCCUGCUGUGGAGGCUUGGGGAUGGUACAACCGGAGGCAGCGAAACCGAGAGGACCAAGAGAAUGGAGAGGUGAUGGAGCCCAAGGCUUGGGACAUGUAAGUAGAGGAGGUAGGCACCCGGCUUUGGAGGUUUGAGGAAGAGGCGGUGGAGGCCAGGACUGCAUUGGUAUAGGUGGGAGACAUGAUCCUGUUGUUGGAGGUGCUUCACGUGAUAAUAGAGAACACCCUCCAGGCUUCUGCAUCAUAUGAAGCACACAGUUUGAUAUGGCGAUCCAGUAUUCGUAAGUCCUUGAUACGCCAGCAGAAACUCAAUCAUGGUGGGUAUGGUGGCUGGUACUGGUGGUGCGGUCAAGGCAUGGAGGCAAAUCUCAGCAAAGGCAGAGGUCUCUUCGAGAGUAUUAGAAAAUAAAAGAUGGCCAAGGUUGUUAUUUUAUGUCAAUCUUGUGAGGAAGUGUUGGGAGAAUUAAGGUAUGUUUAGACUGCCCAAACUGCACCAUACCAAAUUUCUGGUCAUGACCAAAAGAUUGGUCUUUGUUUGGAUGGUGGGAAAACUUUUGGGCAUGCCGAUGCCCCCAAUGUUCUUGCCAAUAUUGGCCAACUCAUGGGCAAGCAAAAAACUUGACCAAAAUUUUGGCUAGACAGAUUAUUGGCAGGCAAACGUGGGCCACAACCCAACAGAACCUUUGUACUAGAGAACCCAGGUUUGCAAUCUAUUGAGAGACCAUAUUAGAUUCUGGAUGUAAACUUGUAAUCCUUACAAUAAAGGGAUUGGAGGUUCCGUGGAACACCACGUAAUUAUUUCCCAAAAUAUUCAAAAGUACUCCAGCAAAAGAAAAGGUAAUGGCAGCACAACAUAUUCAUAUCAAACACCAAAGUUUUCACAUUACCAGAGCUUACCCAAAAAUGAUGAAAAUGCAAGGUACUGCAUUUUUUGUAGAUGGAUGGGUAUCUCAUUUGAAAUAUUGUGAUGAAUGAGAGGGAAAAAGGGUGGCCAGUUUUUGUCUUCUAUGACAAUGCCAGCUGAAAAUGAAACAAAGAAGUGAUUAGGAGAAGUAUAAUUGUGCAAACAUACUGCUAGGGAAAUCAUACAAAGUACAAAACUAAAUUUGCUCUUGCCAGAAGAAAUGACAAUUGUUUAUUUUCGGACAUCCCAAAAUUGGAGCCUUGAAAUGACCAAUUCUAAAUUAUCAAUCUAAGAAAAGGAUCAUUGUCAGCAAAUAUUACCAAUAACCAUGCAGGUUGCAGUGUGACAUACUGAUAACCCUGAUGUCCCAUCCCAUGUCCUAAACUCUAAAUGUCUAUGAUGCCCUUUUAUGAACAAUUCCGAAACACUGUGAACUCCUCUCAAAAUGAGUGGGCAGGCUACAGUUUCUUGGUACACACUUCCAGGUGCACAAAUUGCUUUCAUCAAGCAUGGUUCUGUCUUCAAUUUUUUAUGCCAGAGACGUGAACAAAACAAAACUAUUAAAGCUAUUCAGCAAAAGGAAAGAAUGCGGGUUGUACCUCGCGACGCAGCCUCUUCCUUCCUUUUCAGUUCCUAGGGCAGAGAGACAAACAAAGAGGAAUCAGAUCAGCAGUUCGAGAAGGAACAUCUCAUAUGGUAAAUAAAACAUGUAUCCACAUACAUGGAAUACACUACAAAGAGACAAUCUUUCUGUGAUUUAAAAUACUAUGACAUCUCACUGUCAAAAUUCAACAUAUUAAAUAAUAAGCUCAAGAAACAUGAUCCUCCCAGAUGAACCACCGUUUUGACUGGGAAACAAAAUUGUAUAGACCAUUCAUCACUGGAUAUACGACGCCAUAAGCCCAUAACCAACCAAAUUUAGCAAGAAGUUGAGAUAUAGAUUCCCCUAUCUAGAUAACAAGACCAAGGGACAAAACCACGUCGAAAUGAAAUGGUUCUUGCACCUGUUCUUGGGUUCUUGGGACAAAUGGUAAUCAGAAAGAAAGAAAAAAACAAAUGAUUGUUACACAUGUUUGCAAUUUUUCAUCAAUCUAAGAUAAAUUUGUGCUGAGAUAGAGUGCCGCAUUGUUUUCCUCACAGCACAAAUUUAUCUUACAUUGAUGAGAAAUCAGAAAAAAAAAUGCAGUGCUAAAAUUAUUUUUCCCAUUAAAAUUCACAUGCCUGUUUGAACUACUAGCAAAAGCACACUUUAUUUUCCAGCAGAGCCACUAUAUGCUGCAAGAUGAUGCAUGUUUCUGCCCCUAUUACUCGGCCUCAAAUUGCAUCACUACCAAACAGAUAGUUCUGGUAGCCAUUUGACCUCCUACUCUUAAGUCAAUGCACACUACCUGUUCAGUAAUUCCAAUGCUCUGGUGGCAAUUACAGUGAACUGCUUAACUAGUAUUUGGUAGGUUGAGGACACGCAGAUUCUGUAGACUCAUGCCAGCACACCAUAAAAAAAUUACCAUAUUGUCAUUUCCUAUUACUACUUCACUAUAGGGAUUUUAGGGCUAGGAUAGCUACUAUAUGCAGCACUAAUGAUCUGAAAAUCCCAAAUCAACAUAAAUAAGGUUUUAUUGACUCACUGGUUGUAACACUAAAUAAAGCAAUGCCCCAGUUAUCAUAUCCAAAUCACAAAUCACAGCGACGUUGUAGAUUCUGGAUUUACAUCUGAUGUGACACCACUUGUGAGAAAGCUGGUAGCAUAUCAAUAUUUCUGUAACUGGCUAAGAGCAGCAGAACAGUCCAAUCACUCAGGAAUUGUAACACGCAUACCUUUUCUCUUUUGUUUAGCUCGGCUUCCAUCGCUUGGAGCUCUUUUUCCUUUUUCUUCACAUCCUAAAUGAGAUAAUAACAUGCAUGAUAUAAAUAUAUAAACAAACUACAGAAGGGAUAACCAAUACAAACAUUUUUUAUUGACUUAAUCAAAACUAACUUUACACAUGAACAGUAUAAAUAAAGGAAUAAUUGUCACGUUUUGUAUACAGUUUUACCCCAUUCAGUCAAUUUUAUAAGGCAAACUUUGAGCUGGCACAUGGAUCUCUUACGAUUGAGAAAGUGACCAAACAGAAUUACUACAGUACCCUUCCAUUAACUGUUUUCAAAAUAUGCGAGAGAAUAUUUUACGUGGUUGGUCAUGCGUAUAUUCUUAAAAAGAUAAUGAAACAAAUAAUGGCAAAAAUACAAAAAAAAAUAUGCUAGGAUGUCUCAUAAUUUUCACCAAAAUUGGAAAACAGACCAUCGGACUUAUAAAAAUUCUCACAAGUACUUGAUGAUACAUAAGGAAUAGAUAAAUGGCAAUGACGAAGAGAACAUCUAUCCAAUUCCAAUUAGAGUAAGAAGCUAGCUGACACAAUUUUCUUGAGUGAAGAAAAACUUCUCAAAACUAAACCUACCUUAGUUGAAUCCAUAGGAAUGUCCACAUUAUAAAAACCCGCAGGCUCGUGGGAGAGAGGUGAGAGUCGGGAAUUGGAGGCUGGGGGGACACUCCCUCCCUGUAGAAAAUGAAGCAUUUGGAAGAUAUUAGGAACGGGCAGCUCCAAAAAUAGAAGUCUCUGAGCAACUUAAUAAUAGCAUAAUAUUUCCUUUGCCAACAACUAGCCUUCUGUUCAACAUCAAUAUUUUAAGUACUUCUAUGUAAUGAAUAUGUAUGGAAUAUCAACAUAACAUAACAUACAAUGGAAAUCAGAUGAAAGAUCUAACAAUACAAAAAUACCCAAAAGAAAUGACGGGUGGUGGGUGCAAGAAUUGCUGCAUCCUGCAUGCAUGCGCAGUUACUUGAUUAUUAGAACUUGACACAGGUUUCGGAUUUAGAUAACCAGUAAUCAGUAAAUAUGCACGAGAAAAAACAAAAAUAUUUUGGCAUGUUACUGAGAAUGGCCUGCCAAUGCAUACUUUCGCAGGCAGUGCAUAGGCACAUUAAGUUUUCAAGGGCAUGUGCAUAGACACAUAGUUUUUAAUGUGAUCGCAGCGGGGUGUGUUUAAGUAGAUUACACUCAAACGUUGCCUUGUUCUACAUCAGUUCAAUGACAUCAUCAAUGAAUAAUCCUAUCUGACGGUACAAAAGAGCUUGCGACAUGUAGUCCUUCAACUUUGGCUCCCACAUAGAGCCUAGAAUGUAGAAAUCUCAAACCUAAGAUUUUUAUCCAUGACCUAUCCAUACAUUUUUGUCUUACGAACAUACCUAUCUAUCCAUACAUUGGAUAUCACAUUAACCAUGUUCCGACAUAUGUAGCUUGUAGCACAUUGGAAAAUUUCUAGAAACCACUUGAAUGACUGAGCACAAAAACAGUGGGUCUGAAAUUAGUGACGUCUCAAUAUGAACCCAAGGGCAGCAAGUGGCUCAUCCUCUACCUGACAAACACUACCAUCAUUCCACCAUACGUAAUGUCCAAGUCCCUGAUGUUGAACAUAGCACAAUAUGGUGGUAACCAAGCUCCAGCAACCUCACGCCAGUACUCAUUAACUAAUGAACAAGAAACCAAGUCAUAUAAGAGGGUGUCACAGAUAUCAAAGCCACCACAUUGCUUUAAUCUGCUGCGACACCAAAUCCCAACCAAACUACAUUGUAGCUCAUGCUGGCUUCAAAUCACCUAGCACAGGCCACUAAUCACCCACCGCGCAGCCUUAGUUCACCACGCGAGCACAGAUCCAGAGCUAACCUACCGCUUCCAGAGCAAUAAUCAGCCGACACAGCCGACAGAGCGUAAUCGCCAACCCGAAGCGCACAAAUCCGCAUCUCCCAAAUCGCGUCCCCGUCCCACGCUAGGGGCCUCAGAUCCGGGAAAUGCCGGUCCCGAAUACGAACACGGCCGACGCGGAAAAAAAGGAGAACCGAGAUCUAUGCUUGCGCUCGCGCCGACGGGAAGGAGAGCGAGCACUCACGGCGAAGGGGUUGACGUCGUCAUCCUCGAAGCCGUUGCGGCCCGCCAUGGGUCUCCGGGCGCCUUCUCCGACGGGCGGCGGCGAUGGGCGGCGUGGUGGUGGCGACCGACCAAGUGCGUGCGGCGUGCCUCCCUCUCCCCUCUCUCUCUCUCUCUCUCUCUAGUCGCGUUGCUUUCUAGUCUAGUCCAGUACACGGGGAAAGGGAGACGCGGUGGCUGCGCGCGAGGUGGUCGCUGGCGGGUGGGGCCCGGCGAGGCUGACAGGCGGGGCCCCGGAAUGCGAGACGCCAACCUGGCCGCUCGGUGCGGGGCUGUGCUGGUGCGGUGCGGUGUGGCGUCCCUUUCGGCCCGCGAGCCAACUGAGAUCUCGGGCUACCUUCUGCCUGCCCCUACGCUUUUUUUUUAACACAGUCUGCCCCUACGCUAUUGGGUUCUUCACAAGUUCAAGUUUUUUAACACAACCUGCCCCUACGCUAUUGGGUUCUUCACAAGUUCAAGUUUUCAUCAAGUUGUAUUCUGUUGCGUUUCGAAUGCAAAUAGAGUAGAUAUUCGGAUGUCAAAUAUGCUACUCCCUCCGUCCCAAAACAAGUGCCUUAACCUUAAUAUAACUUUAUACUAAAGAAAAUAAGUGUAUUAACCUUAGUGCAGUAUUUUGAUACGGAUGGAGUAUUAAUAGGGACUACUCCCUCUGUUUUCUAAAUAUAAGCUCUUUUAGAUAUUUCAAUACGGACUACAUGCGAAUGUAUAUAGACAUGUUUUAGAGUGUAGAUUCACUCAUUUUGCUCCGUAUGUAGUUCAUAUUGUAAUCUCUAAAAUAUCUUAUAUUUAGAAACGGAGGGAGUAUAUGGGUGUGUUUGGUUUUAGCUUAGGUAAAAAAAAUUAUCAAAGAUUUUGCUAGACCAUUAUUUGACCAAUAUUGGCAAAAAAAAGAACUAGAGUGGACAAAGGAGCAUUUCCAUGCCAGAAUUUUGUUUAUUUUUUGCGCAUAACAUGCGAGAAAAUUGGUCAUGUUUCAAACAAGAACCAAAUUUUUGGUCAUGACCAAAAUAUUUGAAGGUGGCUCUUGGUUAGAACCCAAACAGAUGCAAACGUAUAUCCUUUUAUUGCUUACUAUAUUCGGAUCUCAAAACGAGUACGCGAUAGACUCAAACCGUGCGUGCAGGGGAGGAGUGAUGGUUGCCUUUUGUAACGCUCUUCAUGAUUUCAUGAAAGAUUUCUAAACACCAUUAUAGGUGCACAUGCUUGGGCCGUACCCGCAAGAUGGUCACUGCUUAUUCUGAUCAUGAUUCUCCAACACACUACAUAUGCUAUCUUGCUCUGGUGAGCAAUCGCUCAUCUCAAGCAAGACUCGAGUGUCUAGCCAUAGUCGAGUCACAACUUGUAUCCAUUGUGAUAAGCAAGUUUGUCCAAUACAAUGACUUGACAAACCCUCUUAGCCUCACGAGUAAUAUCCUGGAUGGAUGAAGGUUACAAGAGGGUGAGCCUUCUCUUUCUCGUAGUACCGUGUGAGAGACAACAAUUCCAUCUAUUUGAACAAGGUGUUUGGUGCAACAAUUUCGUCUAUUUAUUUAUUUUUAAUUUUCAAAGAGAUGCUUAAAGGGCAUCUUAUAUCUGAUAGUUAUUAAAAGGAAACAACAGCCGUAACACUGGAAAGACAAUUGGACGCGGACCGACCAAUACAAUAUAAAGUUACAUUGCAAAAUACACUAGUCUCCUCCUUUCUUCCAUUGUACGCCGCCUACCGAAGAUUAAAAAUUGCACUGAAAGUAAAGAAGGGGGACAUCUACAAACGUCUUUGCCAUAUCAGGCUUUAAAAAUUGCAAUAACUACUCACCCCUUGAGGCGAGAUCUAGAAAUCGCUAAAGAAGCAUUGGUCCGAGCAUCACCCCACGCAAAAACAGGCUCACAAUCCAUCACCACCGGUACCCGAGUGUUGGGGAAAUCGGACCAUGCUGCAGAACAACACAGAAGAAGAUGUCAAAGUCGUCGCACCAAUGGCCAGCCAAUUGCUCUAUCUCCUUGGAGAAUACACGAACUUCAAAGAUAUGAGGAGAGCCAACAAAUCUGGAGACACAAAUUCUCACAAGCCCUUCCGGAUCAGACGUCGUCGAGAUAGGGAGAAGUCGGAGAGACCUUAUUCCAACACGCGCAUUGUCGUCGCCACCUCGUUGAUGUCGUCGGGGAAACAAAACCUAAGGAGAAAAGGGGAACGAACGAAAGGGUCCCCACUGCUCUUGUUGUCGAUGAGGCCACCGGUCGAAGGGGUGGAAGGGGCCUAUGCGGAGGCGCAUGGAAGAAAUUUCAUCGAGGGCAGUGGCUAGGGUUCAGAGAUGCUGUGAAGUUUAUAAUCUAUUUGAAAGGGUGAUUUGGUGAAGCAAAUUCUACCCAAGCAACCAUGCUUGAUUUUUCAAAGUUAUGUUAAAUGAAGGAGAUGAGAAGUGAUAAUGUUGAAGCCACAAGCAAUAAAGAGUGCAGGGUGCGCAUAAUACACUGUAAUAUAUCGGGAGAAGUGUAAUUCUGAGUUGUGAUUUUUGUGUACUUUUUUUUCGCGGGUGGGUGAUUUUUGUGUACACAAAAAAGCUAUCCGUGAUUAUUUUUUUGCGAAAAAACUUCCAAUCUAUUCAUCUUCAAUCAUGACAGUACAACGAACACCAGAAAUAAAAUUACAUCUAGAUUUGUAAACCACCUAGCAACGACUACAAGCACCGAAGCGAGCCGAAGGCGCGCCGCCGUCAUCGUCCCUCCAUCGCCAGAGUCGGGCACAACUUAUUGUAGUAGACAGUCGGGAAGUCGUCGUGCUAAGGUCCCAUAAGACUAGCACCCCAGAACAGCAACCGUCGGCGGUGAUCGGAAGGAUCCAAACCGAAGACACACGAACGUAGACGAGCAACGACAAGAUCCGAGCAAAUCCACCAAAGAUAGAUCUGCCGGAGACACACCUCCACACGCCCACCAACGAUGCUAGACGCACCGCCGGAACAGGGGCUAGACGGGGAGACCUUUAUUCCAUCUUCAGGAAGCCGCCGCCGUCUCACCUUCUUGAGUAGGACACAAACCCUAGCAAGAUUGAAAAAAAAACUAAAAACGAAGCCCUCCCGCCAGCCCUUGCCAGGAUCCACCACGCCUCCAUGGCCCUAGGGCCGUCGGAGACGAGGCGGACCUGCGCCGGCGCCUACGAGAGGCACGAACCCUAACUUUCUUUCUUGGAGGAGGAGGAGGAGCCCUGGCUCUAACUUCCUCCUCUUCCUUAGGAUUUUGAGCCACCUCUCAGCUACCCGUAAUUUUUGUGUACACAAUGAGUUAAGGUAGCUCAAAUACUCUAGAUAAAUAUGUAAUACUCCAUUCUAUGGAACUUGAUAAUAAAUGUGAAAAACACGAUCUGUUCCAAAAAUCGAGAGAUUUAAGUCCCAAAAUGCUCAUGUUGUCGCAUCACGGCUACCCAUAGGCCAUAACAUUACCAUAUUCAUGGCUUUAGUUUAUAUUAUAUUUUGUAAAUCCAGGGUGCUGAACUCACUAUAAGUUAAGAUAUUUUUCUUUUCUUUUUGCGAGAAACUUCCGAUCUAUUCAACUUUAAUCAUGGUAGUCAUAAAAAAUAAUUAAAAUUACAUCCAAAUCCAUAGACCACAUAUCGGCUACAAGCACUGAAGUGAGCGGAAAGCACGACGCUGNNNNNNNNNNNNNNNNNNNNNNNNNNNNNNNNNNNNNNNNNNNNNNNNNNNNNNNNNNNNNNNNNNNNNNNNNNNNNNNNNNNNNNNNNNNNNNNNNNNNNNNNNNNNNNNNNNNNNNNNNNNNNNNNNNNNNNNNNNNNNNNNNNNNNNNNNNNNNNNNNNNNNNNNNNNNNNNNNNNNNNNNNNNNNNNNNNNNNNNNNNNNNNNNNNNNNNNNNNNNNNNNNNNNNNNNNNNNNNNNNNNNNNNNNNNNNNNNNNNNNNNNNNNNNNNNNNNNNNNNNNNNNNNNNNNNNNNNNNNNNNNNNNNNNNNNNNNNNNNNNNNNNNNNNNNNNNNNNNNNNNNNNNNNNNNNNNNNNNNCUUGUUACGUAGAUAGUUGGGAAGUCGUUGUGCUAAAGCCCUAUAGGACCAUCGCACCAGAACAACAAUCGCCGCUGAUGAAAGAAACGUAGAUCAGAAGAAUCCAACCUAAAGACACACACGAAUGUAGAUGAAAUAAGACCAGAUCCAAGCAGAUCCACCAAAGACAACCACCGAUUGAAUCAUGCGAGAUCCAUCGAAGACACACCUCCACACGCCCUCUAACGAUGCUAGACACACCAUUUGGAUGGGGUCUAGACAAGGAAAACCUUAUUUCAUCUGUAGGGAGCCGCCGCCGUCUCGCCUUUCCAAGCAGGAUACAAAACCCUAACAACAAAAAUACAUAAAUUUGGAUGUAAUAUUGAAUUUCGUUCUUAUAUUCUGGAUGUAUUGUUAAAUUUGGACAUCCAAACCCAGCAGGGUACCACUUGAACUUGCCCCCAAAUAUGUCGGAUGCUUCACAUGAAACACAAGUGAAAAAGUUUACUCCCACCCACGUUGAUUAAAUUUAUGAUCAAACUUAAAUCUCGAAAAGCUCGGGCGCACUAAAUUAUGGAAUGAAGCGAGUAUGUUUGAAUGGUUCCAUACCAGAAGAUCGUUCGGUUGGACCAACAUCAUAAAAUCCAUCCGACUAACUUACACCAUGGCUUCCAUCUGACCAAGUCAAUUGUGGGCAAUAAAAGCAAACGUUCCUAACAACGCCAUCGAGAUAGCUUCAUUGCAUUGUACUCUCUCUGUAAACAAAUAUAAAAAUGUUUAGAUCACUGCUUUAGUGAUCUAAACGCUCUUAUAUUUGUUUACGGAGGGAGUACUGUAGUAAAAUCUCAUGGUAACUAUCAUUAUCGUGGUAGCACUAAUACAACGUGGCUCCCACAGCCGUUUGUACCCUUUCGUUGUCGUCGGCUUGGGCCUGUUUGGAUUGUGAUUAUCUUCAUAACAUAUUGCCACCUUAUUUUGCCACAAUGGCCUUACUUGAGGUGCUCAAAUUCUUCGCCACACUUUGGAUUUUCAUAAGGAAUCUUGCCACAUUUUAUAUAUGUAUCUAUGACAUGUGGGGCUUACUACUCAUAAAAAGAUUUUAGUGUUAGUUGUCGGCAAAUUUUCGUGUUUUGACCCUUUUCUGAAACCUAUUCGAGAUUUAACCCUAGUUUGAAUUUUUUUUAAGAUCUGACCCUUUUGCUACCGCCAGAGUCCAUGGUGGUAGGGUCUAACAGCCUACCGCCAGAGACUUUGGCGGUAGGAAACAUUGCUACCGCCAAUCGGGCAGGCGGUAGCCUGCACAACCCUACCGUCAAGGUGCUUGGCGGUAGGCACGAGCACGCACUGUGUUCAAUACUUAGGAGUUUUUUGGCGGUAGGGAAUGCAACCCUAUCACCAGGGACCUUGACGGUAGGCUGUUAUACCCUACCGCCAUGGUCCCUGACGGUAGCAAAAGGGUCAGAUUUUAAAAAAAAAUCAAACUAGGGUCAAAUCUCGAAUAGGUUUCAGAAAAGGGUCAAAACAUGAAAUUUAGCCUUAGUUGUCACUAGAACUAAACACGCAUCUAACUUGAUCAAAUUUUCCUAAGUUUAGGCGUGAUAAAGUGUGGCAAGUUGUGGCAUGAGACGAAACACCCCAGAAUGUAGACAUGUCUUCGGCGAUAGACAAAUGAGUACACAAGUGUUGGACAAAUAAGUGCUAGAGACAACAUUGUAUAUGGUUCAUACGAGAUCGAACACAUGUAGGAGGAACAGUGUUACCCCUAGAAUAAGGGAGUCCGAACCUCGGUAAAAUCCUGUCUCGUGUGAAAUAUCGUUCCUGUAUCAUCAACGUGCGUGUUGCCCCGUCAAAACUCCUCAAAUCAUGUGUACUGCCGCAAAAUCCUUGCAACAAAAUGCAAAUCUUCAUUUCCAUUUUGUUUGAAAAUAUUUGACUCGAAAAGGACCUAAGGACCCUGCAGACACAGCCAUGUUACAAUGUGCACAUUGUAAACAUUGUAACAUGGCAAAACUUGGUCGUGCAAAGAAAAAAGGACAGGUCGUGAACGCCACUUUCCACUGAGCAAGAACAUGGCCCCUGAUCAGUAUUUUAAGCUCAACUAUCAGAUAAAAACACAGCUUAAUUGGAGCUCACAGUGGCUGAGCCCUUUUGAGUCCCGGUCUCCCACCACACUACCACAGGUCCACAGCCAAGGCCUCCUCGGCUGUCGGCUCGCACAAAUCAAAGCACGACGGAGGGAAACCCAAAGCCACUCUCACUGUCCUCUCCGCUCGCUCUCCCACUCCCCCCUGUCUGUCCCUCCUCAUGCUCACCACCUUCAGACCAGCCAUGGCCGCCUAGCUGGCUAAGCUAAGCUCUGCUAGUACAAGCCUAGGUAGAAGCGAGGAGGACGGUGCAGGCAUGGGCUGCUGCGUCAGCAAGAAGCGCGGCGAGCCGCCGGGCGCGGCCGAUGGGGGGAAGGCCGUCGAGGCCCGCGACCUGCCGCCGCCCGAGGAGGAGAAGGUCAAGGAGGUGCUCUCCGAGACGCCGCGCGUCAAGCCGCCGCCCAGGCCCAGGCGUGUCGCCGGUGGCGCUGUGGUGGCGCCGUCGGCGGAGAAGGCCAGGGCCAAGGACGGCGGCACCGCCAGGGCGAAGGACGGCCGUGGUGUCGGCGGCAGGGUCGGCAGGCCCGCGCGCUCCGUCGAGGAGAAGUCGGAGGCCGCGUCCGAGUCGUCGGCCGCGACCACGGUGGCCGGGCCCGAGCGGUCCCCGUCGUCGAAGCCGCCCAGGUGCCGGCAGGGAAGGCCCGCGCCCGGUGGCGAGCCCAGGCGCGCCAGGCGGGACCGGGACCACGGCGCGGCCACACCCGGCGGGCGCGGCCGCGCGUCCCCCUCGCCCCCGCCUCCCCGACGCGACCCCGGGCGCAGGUCGCCGUCGCCCGCGGCGAAGCGGGCGCAGGACCAGCGCCGCGACGCUGCCGGCUCGGCCUCCUGCGCGCAGCGGAAGCCGCCCGUGCCCGCCAGGCCGACGCCUCCGCGUGCGCAGGAGGCGCCGGCAAAGCCACAUCUACACGGCCCUCCUACGCAGUGUGCGUCGCCACCGACGCCACAGGCGCCGGAGCAGGAGGAUACGAGUACUCCCCAAGGCAGCGACGGCGACGCCGCGGCGGGUGACGGCGAGGGCGAGGGGAAGGAGUCCCUGGAGAACCCCCUGGUGUCCAUGGAGUGCUUCAUCUUCCUGUAACACUGCACUAGCCCUUCAGUAAGUAAUCAGUGUACUCCAUUGUCACAGUUAGGAGUAACCAGAUUUAGAAGCCGUUCUGUUACGGUGAACGUAAUUCCGCUGGCAACUUCUUCCCGGGUUGGAAUUUUGUAUCCCGGGGAAGAAACUAGCCCCAGCUCUUUGGCGUACCUUGUCUGAUGUCCCUUGUAAUCUGUAGAUUUGUGGAGGACUGUAGCUAAUCCAAGCUAAGCUAGCCAGGGUGUCUCUGUAACGAACUGCAUUUUUUUGUUGUUGCUCUUUUUCCUUCCUGGUACUACAUUGAUUGCACUCCGAUCUUUCUUGUGCAAAGCUGGAGUUGCCACUUAUGUUGAUCCGAUCCGAUCCGAUCCAUGGAUGGACCAUGGCCGUUUCUUCCUCCUCGUUGCAUGGCAUGGUCCAUCACGAUGGGUUCGCCGGGGCAUUCAAUGGCUCCUCAUCCGCAUUCGCCCAGUUCAAUAACUCGGCUCAACCGCUCUGCAUUGCACGCCCAAGGCACGUCCGGCGUACUACUAACGUCAACGGGCCGAUCCGUGCCUGCGUAUUCAAUGCCCGUGGUGAACUGCUGAUCGGCGAGCACCGGCUGCUAUGCACACGAGCAACGUCUAAUCGAACAAAUGCGCCGAGCUGUAGGGACUCAUGGGAGGAGACCGUGUAGACAGCGGCGUGUGUGGGGGCGUGGCCGUGGCCGGGGCCGCCCGCCACCUUUUUCGCGCCACUCCCCCUCCCACUGGCCACUGUAGGGUAGCGUCCAGCAACGUCGGGGUGCGUGCCCACUGCAUGCCCACCAUCGCACCAGCGGCGCCCGCCGCCUGUCGGCCGCUCGCCGUUGUCGCCACCCCGGUGCCCGCGUCCCCCGCCCCCGAUUAUUUUAGCAGAGCACGGCGGGGCGCACGCCGCUGCCAACCACGGUGCGACGGUGUACUGGAGCACAUGUACUGUAGAAUACUGGUAUACUAGGACUGUGCUGCCUGGCCUUUGCGCUGGAACGUCUCUCCUUGUGCAGUGUACCUGUACGGGGAGAUCGCGGCGGAUCUGGUGCUGCCGUGCUGGUGGCCGGGAAGGGUGGGGGCGUGCGCGGCGAGCCCGAUGCGUUCGUGCGUGGCCGGCGUGCUUGCUGCGGCGCUUUCUGCCGCCACCGAGGCAGGGCCGGCUUUUGCGCCUUUGCAGCAGGGAGGCCGCAGCCGAGGUGGCCCGACCCCCGCACGUAGUCGGGUGAAAAGGGCGACGCUCGCAUUAUGCCGACAUGCACGCAGCGGCAGUGGCAGUGGCAUGGUAAAAAGGGCGACGCCCGCACGCCGACAUGCACGGUGAGCUCGCCGGGCCCGGCCCUUUCGCCCGCGUCGCAGCUUUCGAGCGCACUGCUCGCUGCUCGGAUACAGCGGGCCAAGCGGCAACUGUCAUGCUCUACCCGUCAUCUGUCCGACUGUCCCGACGGAGCCGAGGAAGUGGGCUCUGACAAAUCGCACGAAAAAGGAAGGAAAGAACCGAGCAGGCAGGCUGGUGUUUGAUGAAGCCCACCAACAAAGAGAUCUAGAGCAGAAAAGGCCCAAACGUCAACAACCUGAUUCCACUUCCCAGUGUGCCUUGCCUCAAAAAAAAAAAAACUUCCCAGUGUGCCUGUUCUAAAAAAAAAUUCUUUCCAGUGUGCCGAACAAUACCAAAAGCACCGCUGCCUUGGACAAAUUUAUUAUCAAGUGGUAUUUCUUCUUUUUGCAAGGAAUUUAUUCUCAGGCUAAACAGGGCGGCCAACGGAGUAAUCCAUACAAGUACACACAAAAAAAAAAACCUCAACACAAACACAAAGGAGCAACUUCUUCAGACCCGGAUCUUCCUUCAUCGUCCGCCUGUCAACGGAAUUGACAGGUUUCCUCCUCCUCUCCUAGCUUUUAUAUAAAAAUAAUCCGUAGAGUACUUGGUCGCCACCAGAUUCUCACCCCAGCAAAAAAUGGUGCUGGGACGUGUCCAGCAAAUACAGCUCUCA
rnacentral:lncRNA from 1 species